rnacentral:lncRNA from 1 species
ACAAAAAAAGUGCUCACCAGAGAGAUGUAAAGUGCAAUAUGUAUGAGUUUUUGUACUUGCCCAUGUAUACAAAUAAAAGGAUAAGCUUAAGAUAUGUAAUCGUGACAUCAAAAUCUAAAAAGAGGUCUACUUUAUCUUAUAAAACAUACCAAACUUUCUUAUUUUUUGUUGGUCAAUAUACAUGGUUUCUUUUUGGUCCCACAUUUGUUGUUUAACACUCAAACAUCAAGAAGUUGAGAGUUUGAUAUUAUCCCUUUCAUACUAGUAAAGGUAUAGUUAAUAAAAAAUCUGAAAAUAAAUAAUAGUAGAGAGAAUUACAAUCAUGCAGACUUCUACCAACUAUUGACUUAAAAAAACACAAUUACACAAUAGGCGUGUGCUUGAUCAAAUAUGUCUUGUCUGAAAGGAUCUGAGGCAUUCAUGUUGUCUGGUGCUAAGACAAAGGCCCCAGGAGCACCUAGGCACAUGCCUUAACAACACUGAACUUGACCUCAGCCUCAACAGUUCGAAUGCAAUAAAAGGGGUUUUUUUUCAUAUGCUUAAAACAAACUAUGUGAGUGUAACCAGUUACAACUCGUUUCCUACAAUUGGAAGAGUAAAACUUGACACACACCUGAAUAUUAGUCAUUGUGGGAGAUGCGACUUUCUUAGGUUCUGCUGUUGGGAUAACAAACUUGUAUCUGCAAUUAUUACACAAUAAGAGUUGAAAAUGAUGUGAAUAACUACAAAACAGGGCUAUUUUCUUACCAAUCUCAACAGAGAAAUGAGCCAGAGAAUACGAAGGGCAAACAAACAUUAGAGGUAGAGUCAUGUUUAUUCAUAAAUACACAAACAUGGUAAAAGAAACAACAGAAAGACUAAACCAGGAAAAAUGCAGAAAGAUUAAUGUAGGACCCCCAUUUCGUUCACAAGUGCAUUGCUUGUUCUCACCUUCACCUCAGAAAAUGAUCAUUCUAACUUAAUUAAAAAUAGGGGGUAAUAUGUUCUCUCCCUCAAUAAAAGCAGAUUAGACCCAUUUCCUAAUACCAAAUGGGCAUCAUUACAGAAAAAUUUGAUAGUGUCAUGUCCCCGUAGACUUUUGCUGAAACAGUUUCAAAAGAAAGCUUAUUACAAGAGAAAACCAAAAAAACAUUUAUUUCAUUUUGCAAAACCCUUUCCAGCUUCCCAGAGAAAUAACUGGCAGAUCAGAAGCAUGUGCUUUUCCAGUUAAGGUAAAAGUGUCAUGAAAACCACUCAUGAGAAAACAAACUGAACAGAUCAUGGGACAAGCUUUUAAGAACAAGAGAACCCAAUUUUUGAAAUGAUAACAGAAAGCUAUCAACUGACCCGCCAGUAGUUGCAGUAGCAGGCUGACCCAUCAAAUCAUUCUUCUUGAUAUCAGCCAACACAGUAUCAAUUUCAUCGUUCUCAAAAGCAAAAUAGACAGGAUACUGCAGUAGAAAAAUCCCACGAUAAAGUUAAGAAUGUGAAGCAUAAAGUAAACAAAAGAGAAUCAAGAGGAGACUAGUAGAAAAAUUUUCUCUCUUUUCUGGCAGUUUUUCCCUUAUAAAUGACAAGUAGCAAAUACUAAGUUUGGAAUCAAAAAAACCUUAUUAGCUGGAUUUCAAUUCUAAAAAUCAUAUGAGAACUUAGAAAUAGAGUAGUAAAAGUGUCUGCCCUAGCUAAGCACAAGUGGAACGCAGAUUGAUGGCGUGCUUCAGGAAACCAAUGAGGAUGAGGCCUAAGUAUAUACCAUGGUAUAAAUACUUUCCGAAGAAAGAGUCUUACUGAAGAUGCUAGCAAUAAAAAAGUAGGCUCAAAUCCUAAAUAUUUAUUGGUGUCUAAGUUAUCAAUAAGCAUGUGUCAGAAGAAAUUUCAUGGUUUAUGCUAUUUGCCAAUCAUUCAAUUACUUGAUAACAGACUACAGGCAUUCUUUCAAGAUGGAAGCAUGGAUCAUGAAUGUGGAACCUAAAUCUUUUAGACUCAGCAGGUUUUUUGGAACAAAAACUGAAUAAUUCAAACAAGGUAUAAAUUGAAUUCGAUAAAGAUGAAAAUGUCAGUGUAAAUAGCAACGAUGCAGUAACAUAUAUGAUGUACACGAAAAAGAAAUGCAUUAAGUCAAAAGAUGAUGACAACAUGAAGGGAAAGUCAUUAAUACAAUUCCUAUCAGUAAACAAGGGCCCAUAAAUGUCGCAACACAAUUAGAACAUGCCAAUUGUGAAGUUAAUGAAUUAUAACAUAAAGGAAAAGACAUUAAACACGAUUCAGUCUCAAGCAACAAAAAGCAAUACUUGUGAACUGUCAGAUUAACAGAGUUCAGAUCUUGCUGAAAAUUAGGUUGGCAACAAGGAGACUUCAAUCUCAAUACAAAGUAACUACUGCAAAAUUGAUCUGAAACGUAUAUCAAAAUAGAGAUAUUAAUAUGUCUCUAUAUACUCACAGGUAUAUUUGAAUGUAUAAGCAAUCGCUCGAGCUCUGCCAAUAAAUUUUUCAUUUUCUCUUUUUCAUGAACUUGGUUAUUCCCUCCAGUUUUAAAGCUAAGUACUUCAGGAAGCAAAACUAAGAAUCCUCCCAACGGCUUUUUUUGAUUGAUAUAUUCUGCCAAUAAAAAAAUAAAGGAAAUUAAAAUAAAGAACUAAAAGUAGAGAGAAGUUAAAUUGAUGAAAUGAAAGUGAACCUCGAACGAAAGUGAUAUUCAGUUCACGUAGAGGGAUGAUGAGAACGGUUCUGGAAAGAUCGACACCGGGAGGGAAAUGCAAGGAGGCCGCGUGAUGGUUGAGGGCGGCGAAUCGAGAUCCGAAAGGUGAACCGGACCUGUCGUAUUGGAUUAGACGGUAGACGUCGAAGGCAGCGGCGGCGUCGCAGAGUUCGACGCAGGCUACUAAAAUGAAGAGCAGAGCGAUGACGGAGUACAUCGAUUCCAGCAUCUCGCGGAGACCGCCCGGUUUCUUUGAAUUGGCCAUCGGAGGGAAGAUGGGCGACGAUUGAAUCUAGGGUUUGGAUAGAGUAAAAAUGAGAAUUUGGGGUUUAUCUUUCUUUUUGGUGUUUGUUUAAUGGAGUGGAGCUGAUUCCAUCAUGUCGCUGAAUUGUCAGCUUAGCAGUGAGAUUAUACAUAAAAAGUGCAUGGCAAAUGAUUUUUUAAAAUUCUUAUUAUUUAUAAUACCACAUCAUUAUUAUAAAUAAAUAAAUCAUUUAACUUCAACUUUUUAUUUAUGGAAAAUUUUGUACGAAAAUAUUAAGUUAGAUUUUAUUUUAUUAAAAAUUUUAAAAUAAAUUAUUAUUUUUUAUAAAAAGAAAAUAAAAUAAUCAAAUUAUCAUAUGAAUCUUUUAUCUAAAAUUAUUUAUAACAAUAUAAAAUAUUAUAUUAAUAUAAUUAAAAUUUAAAAUUAAAUAAUAUUUUAAAAUUAAUAUUUAUUUUUAUUAAAUAAUAUAAUUAUAUUCGGUAUUAAUAUAUACUAAUUUAUCAAAUAAUUUUUUAAUAAAAUUUUACAUUUAUAAUUUUAACACUUAAAAUUUUAAUUUAUGAAAUAUAUCCUUAAUUUAAUAUUAUUGUUAAAAAUUUUGAAUUUAAAAAAAAGAGUUUAAAUUGAAUAUCUUUUCACUUUUCAUAUAAAUCACAAAUUAUUUACCUUUUAUUUGGAUUCUAAAUUAUGAUUUUUAUAAGUUAUUAUUGUUAUAAUAAAACGUAAUUUUAAUUAAAAAAUUACGUUAACAAAAAUGAUAAACAAAUUUUAGCUGAAGAUUAGUGUUAACGAGGAUUCCAUCAGUUAGUACGAGAGAGAGAGAAAUGGAGAAACACUAUGAGAUAAAAAAUUACCAAUUAUUAGUUUUGGUUUGGUCUGUUUAAAUUUAAAAAUAAAUUUUUAAUUUUAAUUUUAAUUUAAUAUAAUAUAAUAUAAUUUGGUCCAUUAUUAUAGUGUCUUUGUUUAGUUUAAAUAAUUAAAUUUAUUAAUUUUAAUUAAAAUGCUCCCUUUUAUUUUUACUAAAAGCAUCAUUUCUAGUAAAAAAAUUAUGUCGACGUCAUCAUCAAUUGAAAUAUUUGUUUUUAAUUAGAAUAGUUAAUUGGAUUAAUUAUAUUAUAAAUUUAAGAGGGUUGAAUUAAAAAAACUAAAUCACAAAUUAGAUAAUGGUAAAAGGACCAAAAUCCAGAUUUAACCUAAAAUCUUAAAAAGGGGGUCAUUUGUUUCUCAUCAUACUCAGCAGCUGCCCAUUGAAGACUAGCGGUAGGUUGGUGGCAUCAAGGAUUUGGCUUUUUGCUUCAACCUUGGAAAUGGAUUCCAUGCUUUUUGUUUUUCAUUUGCCUGCAAAAUCUGAAAUAAAUACAUAAUGUGUAUCUACCACAAAUACCAAAUUUAGGUUCAAAUGGAAACUGUUCGAACAAAUUUUGUUGAAGAGUAUUUUGUGCAAUUUGAUUAUUCAACCUUUUGUAUCGUAUAAUAUCUUUAAAAUAUGAAAAUUGGAAUAUUUUUUGGAUAAAUAUCGACAGGUUAAUUGACACCACUUUAAAAUUUGUUUAUUUUUUCUAAUAAAAUAAUGUGUUACUGAUUAGGGGUAUUUUUUAGGUGACGUCAUCAUUAUGUCAGGUGAUAUUAUGAUUUAUAGUAGAAGACAAUCCAUUUUCGCAAAUAAUUUCUUUCCAUACCAUUUUCGCAUUUAUUUUUUAAAAUUAUCCUAACAAAUUUCCUUAAAAAGUCAAACAUUAAUAAAACUUCAAGUUGUAUAUUAACUGUAUUUUUCUUCUUUUAAAAAAUACAUUGAUAACACAAUAUUCAAUCAAACAACACAAAGUGCAUGCCUGAUUAAAAUCAUAUAUAUAUAUGAAUGAUCUUGGUUAUAAUUAUACAUUUAACACAAAGUCCAUUUCCACAUAUACUCUCCACCAACUCACUCGAAACAUCAUACAAUCGCACUACCUCCAAAUGGGUUAGAUGUAUGGCAAUCGCUUUAACUCCUUGCAUCUCAAGGCAGCCGGUUCUUUAAGGUCAAGCAUCGCAUCAUUCUUUACCACAAUCUCUUUUAGCUGAGGGAGUCAAUAUAAAUACUGAAGCUUUUUGGACUCUUCAACCAAACAUAAGCGCUCACCCACAAAUGCAUUAAUCCAAAUAUCAAGUUGCAACAAACUAGGCAAAUGCCUGGAUGUGAGAAACUACAUCUUCCUCCAGUUCAGACAACUGUAGGUUCAAGCAUUUGAGGUUGAGUAAGGUGCAAAAGCUGGCACUUUUCCUAAUUUCCCACCUAGACUAAGCCUCUCAAGGUAAGGAGGAGCGGAUAAAAGAGCAUCCUUCUUAAGUGCAGCUUGUGGCCAUAAGUGACGAAGGCGUUCCAUUCUUUGAAUAAAGAAGCACAAAAUGUCCUCAUCGGCUUCUCUCAAUUCAUCAAGCCCAAGCCUUGAAUUGUUCCAUUUCUUGAAGUAACAAGACGCUUGUUGUUCAGAUUAUGGAUACAACUUGCAAACCCUUUAUCAUAAAAAUAUUUAGGAGUACAACUAAGCUCGAAAAUUUCAUAAGGUUGUUAUUCAGUCACUCUUUGCCAAAUAGGUUGCACUUAGAUGCCUCAAAUUUUGCAUCUUCACUGGAAGCUUCUCAAUUUUAGUAUACUUAGGGAAUAAGGACUGCAAGUUAAAAAGUUUACCUGUGGACUUUGGGAGCACCUUCAGUUGAGAUAAAUUAAAUAAAUGUCCAAACUCACUAUGUAUUGGAGCAUUUUCCUUUUCUUUUUUUUUUUUGAAAGUCUUCAGACUGGGCUUAUUAUUAAAAAUAAAUAAAAUACACAGUAUUAACCCAAAACACAUAGCAGAAAAUCAAUAAAAACAGAUAAAAUAACCGGCCUGGAACUAAAGUGGCCCAAAACCUAAAUAGAAAAUAUCUAGAUAUUUUCUGAAUAGUCUAGAAUGCUAAUUAAAUGUGCGUAAUCAAUGCCCAGUCAGAAAAUGCUAUGAAUCGUCUUGUCAUCUAAGUACCAUUUUUGCUUUUUCUUUCUAACGAUUCAUUUCUAACCCAUCAAGUACAGCAAUAUAGUUGUUUAUGAAGUCUACUAGUUGCUGCCCUGUACUGUUUUUCUGUUCAUGUAUUAUUCUGUUUCUUUCUCCCCAUAUAGUCCACAAUCCACAACAGAAAAGACAACUCUGAUGCGAAGAAAGCUAGUCAAAGAUGCAGGUAAUCCAUUGUAGAAAAUCCAUAUAAAGCUCCCGAAUAAUAUUCUGCAUUUUUAAUAGUGUCCAAACAUCCACUGUGACAGGGCAUUCACGAAAGAUAUGGUCGAUCAUUUCAGCUCUUUCUCCACAUCAAGGGCAACUUGUAUUGCUUACAAGUUUUCGAUGCUGCAUAUUAACCCUUGUCGGCAAAUAAUUCCAUGAGAUUUUCCAUAUUGUAAUCUUGAUUUUAUUUGGUAGAUUUAAGAGCCAUAGUUUUUUGUAGAAAUUUCUGUAGCCAGUUUGUAAUGCGUAAGCUCUAAGGAUUUCAUCAAAAGUUUGUAAUAGUUUAUAAGUGCUGUGGACUGAAAACUCGCCUGAAUGCUCGCCUCUCCAGACCAGUAGAUCAUCAUGAGGUGCGCUUGCUAAAGGUAUCCAGAGGAUUUUUCCAGCAUCAUCCUCUGAAAAGUUAUUGUUUAUAAAUUCUCUUUUCCAUGCUCUUUCAUUACUAUCGAUCAAUUCACUGACCUUGGCAUCUUGCAUAAAAUUAACAACUGAAGAUAACUUAAAAUUGACAGCAUCUGGAAUCCAAGCAUCAGCAUUUAUAAAAAUAUUUGUGCAUGUGCCAACCCUUCAGCACAUUCUUUUUUCCAAAACACCCUUCGCUGCCCAUAUGCUUUUCCAUAUAUAAGAGCUGGUUUUUCCCAAUCGAGACUUUAAGAAAUGAUCAUUCAGAAAAUAUUUUGCUUUAAAAACUUACGUAACUAAAGAGUCCUGAUUAGUAAUGAGCCUCCACCCUUGUAGCAAGUAGAGAAAUAUUGAAUUACGCCAUAUUUCUAAAUCCUAAUCCCCCCUCUUCUUUUGAUCGACACAUGAAUUUCCAUUGACACCAGUGUAUCCCUUUCCUACCUUGUCCUUUGUGCCACCAGAAUUUAGUGAAAAUAUUUUCUAACUCCCCUCAUAACGAUUUUGGUAGAAGGAAACAUGACAUAGCGUAAGUUGGAAUUGCUUGAAGAACUGAUUUUAUAAAUAUCUCAUUUCCCCCUUGUGAAAGUAACCUAGUACUCCAACUUACAAUUCUCAGCUUAAUUUUAUCUUUGAGAUUCUGAAAAGCUUCCUUCUUUCGCUUUCCUACAACAUUAGGAAGUCCUAGAUAUUUUUCCAUAUUUGUGGAGCUUCUCACAUUUAGCAAACUCGAUAUUUCUUCUUUCUCCUGUUCUGUUGUAUUUGUGCUAUAGAAAAUUGUUGAUUUGUUGUAGUUUACACAUUGACCUGAGCACUGUUCAUAUUCCUUCAAAAUAUCUUUGAAAAUUUCCCCCCUCGUUGUGUCGCCUCACCAAACAGUAUACAGUCAUUUGAAAAAAGCAAGUGCGAUUUUUCAGGUUCUCUUUUACUAGCUCUUACUCCCUUCAUCGAUCCCUCAUCUAUGGCCAUUCUUAUUAAAGACGAGAGUCCAUCACAGCAUAUCAAAAAAAGAAAAGGGCUGAGCGGGUCAUCUUGACGAAGCCCUCUAGUAGGCUUAAAAACCUCUCUUCUUCUCCCAUUGAUGUUCACUGUAUAAGAGACUAUAGAGAUGCACUUCAUGAUUAAUGUUACCCAUUCUAUAACAAAUCCCAUUUGAAGCAUAACUUCUUUUAAAAAAGCCCACUCAACUCUAUAGUAAGCUUUGCUCAUAUCUAGCUUAACUGCCAUCAGCCCUUUUUUCCCAUUCCGUCGUUGACUUAGCGUAUGCAAGAGUUCAUAGGCUACAAACACAUUGUCAGUAAUUAACCUUCUGGGAACAAAAGCACUUUGAACCUUAUCAAUACAUUUUCCAAUGACUUUCUGAAGAUGAUUUGAAAUUACUUUUGCCACAAUUUUAUAUAGAACUGUGCAUAAGUUGAUAGGUCUAAAAUUAACAAGACUUGUGGGGUUUGGUAACUUUGGGAUAAGCACAACAUCUGUAAGGUUUAGAGAGUCAAAAUCUCGUCCUUCAUUCAGUAUGCCUAAACAAAAGUUUUUGACAUCUAUACCUAUAAUGUGCUAGAAUUUUUGAAAAAAUAAAGCUGGAAAUCCAUCAUAAUCUGGUGCUUUAGUGGGCCCCAAUUCUUUCAAGGCUGAAAAUACCUCUUCUGCUGUAAAAGGUACUAGUAAAUCUGUGUUAAUAUCAGAUGAGAUAUUAGAAUGAAUACCUUUUAGAAUGUGGGAUAGAUUCCUAAUACCAUUUGACGAAAUAAAUUCUGGAAGUAAUUUGAGGCUGACUCAUUAAUUGCUGAUUCAUCAGAACUUUCCCUCCUAUCAUCAGAUUCCAGCUUAGUAAUCAUGUUUGUUCGUCUAUGAGCUGUGGCAUAUUUUUGGAAAAAGGCAUAAGUUUUGUUGCCCAAUUAAAUCCAAUUGGCUCGCGCCCUUUGUUCCCAAUACAUUUCAUCCUUAUCUAUCUCCAUAUUAAGAUGAAUUUUUGUAUCAAUCAGCUUUGUGAUUGUGUCAUCAUCUCUGUCGCCUGCCAAAAGAUCUUCAAUUUCCUUUGUGAGCUUACUCUUCAACCCAUCUCUACCCUUUUUUAUUGAGUUUGCCCACCUCCUCAAUCUUGUCUGCAGCCUUUCUAGCCUUUGAGCAAUAGUUCCAUUUGAUGACUCCCACGAUGUUUUAAUCUAUUGUUUAAUAGAUUCCUCCAUGAUCCACCAUGCCUCGAAUUUAAAACUUGGUAUCCUCUUAUAGCUAAUCUUAUUGUUGUUAUUGAUUAGUAAGGGACAAUGAUAUAAAAUCCAGUGUGUUAAAUACUAAAUAACUCCUUUUGGGAAAAGUGCCAGCCAUUUUUCAUUCGCCACUCCCCUAUCCAAUCGCUCUCUAAUAUUCAUUUUCGGUAGAUUCUGUAUCACUUCUUAACCCCGUCCCGUCGCCAGAACAGGACUACGAAGUAUUACAGGUCAUUACAGUACAUUUACACGUAAAACAGAAAUAAAUGUAAUACUGUACAUCUUAUUAUACUUUUAAUGUAUUUAAAAAGUAUAUCUUAAACAAACCGGGGCUCGAUCAGAAGCUUAAAAAAUUUUUCGUAAAAUUUCAAUGUAACACCCCUUACCCGAGACCGUUUCCGGAGUCGAGCACGAGGCAUUACUUAGCUUAUCUUACCAAUUCGGAGCAUAAAAACUAGGUUUGAAAAUUUAUUUCACUAUUUACAGCAAAUCUGUCCAAUCGCGCAGCAGUUGCUAAAUUAAUUAUAACUUGAGCUACAGAACUCGAAAUUUAAUUCCGUAAAUUUUCCCUGAAACUAGACUCAUAUAUCUACUCACCAUAAAAUUUUUAGAAUUUUUGGUUCAGCCAAUUAGUACAGUUUAUUAGUUAAAGUCUCCCCUGUUUCACCAUUCGACUAUUCUGACCUCUUGUUACUAAAAAUAAGUUUUCUCACUGUAGGAUUUUCAUAUGAAGUUCUUACUUGUUUCUACGGAAAAUAGACUCAUUAAGGAAUCUAAGCAUGUAAAUUUCAACUCAUAACCAUUUUUGUACAAUUUUUAAUUAUUUUCUAAACUCAGAACAGGGGACUCCAAAAAUAGUUCUGACCCUAUCUUACUAAAAUUCAUAUAUCUUAAAAUAUAAAUUUCCUUUUUCUACACCGUUAUUUUUCCAUGAAAAUAGACUCAUAUUUUAUUCUUUUUGCUUCCUUUUUAUAGUAUAUUCCUUUGUCGUCAUCUUCAAUUUCUAACUCCUCCGGUUUUCUUUUCCUCAAAAUACUCUCACCAUUAGCCAUGUCCGUCUCUCUAGUUGCCUCAACUCUCUUCCAGCUCGAUUUCUUUGCUAAAGAAUAAUGAGGACCAUCUCUAAUUUUAUUUUUUCUACAAGUGUAAACGUGAGGCAUUCAUUGGGCCCAUGCCCUAUCCUUCCACAGCCAAAACAAGAAGUUGGUAAUUUUUCAUAUUUAAAUGGGAUCCAGGACUUACUUUGAUUUUCUGUUGAGAUGAAAAUACCCUUGCGCAACGGUUUUUGCACAUUUAACUGAACUCUAAGUCGAUAGAAAUCACCAUUAAUUGUAGAUCUCAGAACACCUCCAAAAGUAACCCCAAUAGCAUGCAUUAAAUCUUUUUUAUCAAUUUCUGGUAGACAUGGGCCGAUCUUAACCCAGUAUGGAGAUGAAUUAAGCCGAAUUCGACUCCUCUCUAUCGAUUUAGUCAACUGAUCAAACAACAUUAAAAUUUUCCGAAACAAUCAAGGCUGCCCCUCCAUAAUUAUCUCCAGAUCUUCUUCACCUUCAAACACUAUCAAUAAUAAAUUCUGCCCUGCCAAUUGGAUCUCAAACCUUUUCCUUGUCUUCCAUAUAUUUUUCAUCUGUGCCCUAAAGCUAUCUGGAUUAUAGGAUUUUUUGUCCAUAUAGUGCAAAGUAGGGUUGGCUUAUCACUGGGUGCCACCAUCGAGCUUUUAACUGAUAACUGAAUGAAUUCUUCUGCCAAAAGGGAGAUCUCCUCUCCUGUGAACCCCUCUUCGCCACCACUUUCCUUCAUCCCAAGCCGCAUAAAGACCUGUUCUCGCUAGGAUGCUAAGGAAAGCACUCUUGACUAGGGUUUAAUUUACUAUCUAAAAUUGCAUUGAAGCAUUUUCUAAAUCCAGCACUCUUAACAAUUUUAAACUUGAGGUAGGUCUAAUCACUUGAUAAGUAUUUGUAUUAUUUAUGAUUUAGCAAUGGUUUUUAUUUAAUCUCUAAGUAAAUAUUUUGAUGAGUCUCAAUAAUCAUUAUAUUUUGCUCAAAAUUUCAAGUUAUUUGUGUAUUUGUUUAAUGAUGUAUUUUUUAUUUCUUUUAUCUUUGAUGUAGGGAAAGAUGCCACAAGGAGAGGCCGGAAUUUGGAGGAGAAAGAACUACCAACCCUCUCAUCUUAGGCAACUUUUACUUCAACUGCGGUUAGCUGAACAGUUAAUCGAAUCAAACUAGUAUUAAUUGAAUUAAUCAAACUUUUUAAUCGUUUAACCAUUAACCAAACCAUUUUUUUUGUUAAAACAAGUAUAAAACAUAUCAAUUUUUUUUAUAAUGCUUAUUUGACCGAAUAAAAACUACAUAUCAUUUGUAUUAUUAAUUAUUAAGUUCAAUUAAUUACCCGAUUUUGUAUCGAAUUAACCAAUAACCAAACUUUUAAAAAAUCAUUAACUGACCUUCAACUGAAUUAGAUCGAUUAACUAACUGAUUAAUCAACUUAAAUUAGUUCGAUCAGUUAAUUUAGUUUUAACCGAAAUUUGAACGCCCCUAAUUUUUAAUAAAUUUUCAAUUUGAAUGAGAAAAAGAAUAAAAUAAUUAAAUAAUUAAAUAAAUAGGAAACAUUAUAAAUUGGACAUUUACAUCUUUAUUAAUUUCAAUUGUGGUGAGUUUUAUGUGAUAUAUGUAUAAUUCAUUGCAAUCUUAGAUUUCAUUGUGAUAUUUGUAGAAACCAUUAAUCGGAUAUAAAAUUUGGCUUAUAACUUGUUCAAAUUUAUUCCAACAUAAUAGGCAAAUGGUUGAUAAAUAAUCACAGUAUACUUGGUUUACUAUUAGUCUUUAAAUAAUAAUAAUUAUUUUUAUUACACAUUCUCACGUAAUUCAUUACAUUGUAACUUAAUUAAUAUUCCUAUAAAAAAGAAUCAUACAUAUCAUGUAUUUUCUUUUUCAAAUUCUAAAAUAUUCGUCUUUGUUACAAAAUAUCUUUAAUUUCAAAAUUUUAAGAUUUUAAAAGUUUUAAGUGAGUUACAUUAUUUAGCUCAUAAUUUUUUAUUUAAAAAUAGAAAUAAAAAUAUAUUUAUAUAUAUUUAUUAAUAAAAUUAAAAUCUGGAAGCACAAAAUUAUAUUUUUAAUAUUUAAAUAAUAACUCGAAUUUAAUUGAGAGAAGUACUGACUUCAAUCCUUUGUUGGUAAUGUUAACAUUGUCUCCCUGUAAUUAGGGUUUGGUUGAGAGAUGAUUGUAAAGUAAGUGACUAAAAUUUAUAAAAAGAAUAUAUUAUAUUUUAAAUGCUAUUGAAAGAAAAAAGGAAAGGAAUCCACUUAGCGCAUUAAACACUUCAUUACUUCAAAAUGGAGAAGGGUUUAAGAAAAACCUCGCCUUUGUUUCUUGACGAAAAAGCCAGGUUUCUUUGCUGCCACUAGCGCUCCUCAAGCUUUCAAGCUUCUUCCUUUUUCUUCUUUACGAUCAAUCCAAAAAAUACAAGCAGAUGGAUAAAAUGAAGAUAGAAGAGGUUCAAUCAACGGCCAAAAAGCAAAGAAUCGCUACUCAUACUCACAUCAAAGGCCUUGGUCUCGAUGUAUUCUCUUCAUUCCUUCCUCCCCUUUUUAAAAUUUUUUUUCUGAGCUUAAAUGUUUUGCAUUUUAGUGUAUUUCUGCAAUAUUGUUGUAAUUGUCAGCAUUUUGAAGUUUUUUUUUUGAGCCAUGGAAAUUUACCUUUUCUUGGUUUUAGGGUUUUAAGCUUAAAUAGUCAACUGUUAAUUCAAUUACUGGAGAUUUGUUGUUAAUGGUAUACUUUUUCAGUUUUAGAGUGGACAGAAAUAUAGUUUUAACUUAAAUUGAAGGUCCAGAAAUGGAGAUAAUAAUAAAUAUUGAACUAACUAAUUCUCAAUUACGGACUAUGGAAAGAAUUGGAUGGCUUUUGAGGCGUAGAUUUUUGUUAAUUGUAUGAGUUUUCAAUGCAUAUAUGAGUUGAAUAAGUGGUUUUUUUUUCACUAUGAAGUUUCAUUGAUAGAACAUAGUAAUUUGCUUAUAUAUUCUGAACCAUAUCUUUUGCUUUCAUUCACUUGUUGUUUUUACUGGAAAAAUUGAAAUCUAUGCUUACCUUUUUGACCAAUUUCAAAACUUUACGAGCAUUUCUUUUCCUUUGUUUACCAGCCCACUGGAAAUGCCGUUCCUUUGGCUGCAGGUUUUGUGGGGCAAGCAGAGGCAAGGGAAGCAGCUGGUCUUGUGGUGGAUAUGAUAAGGCAAAAAAAGAUGGCUGGCCGUGCACUUUUGCUGGCUGGGCCUCCCGGUACUGGGAAAACAGCUUUGGCCUUAGGAAUUUCCCAAGAGCUUGGGAGCAAGGUUCUCGUUGUCUUUUCCCUUUAUUUUUGAAUGUAUUUGAAAUUUGAAUUAUUGUAUGCCAGUUCUUUUGGAGGGAUUGGCAAUUUUUUUUCUAUAUGUGUUCCUCUUACAUUAUUUUCAGGUUCCAUUCUGUCCAAUGGUUGGAUCUGAAGUAUACUCUUCAGAAGUAAAGAAAACUGAAGUUUUGAUGGAAAAUUUCCGACGGGCUAUUGGUCUACGCAUCAAGGAAAAUAAAGAGGUCUAUGAAGGAGAGGUAAGUUACACCUAAUGGCAAUUCUUUAUCCCUGAUUUUAUUUGAUUGUUUUCUCUUUGGACUGCUGGGAUAGACCCUGAAUCCUAGCUGUUCUUGUUUCAGGUUACUGAACUCUCUCCUGAAGAAACAGAGAGCGUAACAGGUGGUUAUGGUAAGAGCAUUAGCCACGUAAUUAUUGGAUUGAAAACUGUCAAAGGAACAAAGCAACUGAAGUUGGACCCUACAAUUUAUGAUGCCUUGAUUAAAGAAAAGGUAAGCCUUUAAGUUUCUCUGCAUUAUUAUGUGGAAAAGAUUGUUCAAGUUUUUUAUUUUCUGGCUUUUUCUAAACUGUAUGAGGCACUAUAGCGUAUAAAAAUAUUUGUCUCUUUCCUUAGGGACCUUUCGAUGGUUAUGUUUUUUAUCUGCCUAAGAGUUUUGGCUUCGAUUUGAAAUCUUGUGAGGUUUUUAACUUGACUGGCAGGUAGCUGUUGGAGAUGUUAUAUAUAUUGAAGCAAAUAGUGGAGCCGUUAAAAGGGUGGGCAGAAGUGAUGCUUUUGCCACAGAAUUUGACCUUGAAGCUGAAGAAUAUGUGCCGCUUCCCAAAGGAGAAGUUCACAAAAAGAAGGAGAUAGUGCAGGUUUGACGCUACUGAUAUUAUGCUUUUCCCUGUAGUUCCCUUGGCAUUUAUUCUGUAAUAUAUUCUGUUUGGCCUUGAAGACUUGUUUCUGCUUAUAUUUUUAUACUGAUGGGCUUGGACGUUUUCCUACUUUGUCAACAAGUCUUGUUUGUAUAUAUUAAUGACCAUUAUCAUCGUCCCUUUGAUUUCAUAUGAGAAGUGAGGAUUCUUUUAUGAAUUUUCUUACCAACAUUUUGCCAAUUACAAACUGUUAUUUGUUUGCUUAAUAGUUGCAACCCACUUCAUGAAGAAACAAGGGAAAACAAAUCUAUGAAUUUGAUGCCUUCUGCAUUUGCCUGAUAUGUUACAAAUAUGCUUUGGUGGGCUUGGUGUCAUUUCCCUUUCUCUGGUUCUAAAUUUAUUGGUUUUCUACCCAUGCUGAAAUUCAUUAAAAAACAAAAAGAAGCUUUCUAUUUUCUUCACCACCAGGAUGUAACAUUACAUGAUUUGGAUGCUGCUAACGCACGACCUCAAGGGGGCCAAGACAUUUUGUCUUUAAUGGGUCAGAUGAUGAAGCCCAGGAAGACAGAAAUCACUGACAAAUUACGACAAGAAAUAAAUAAGGUAUUAUUUUCCAAACACAUUUGGCAUCCACCUAUAUGAUGAAUUUUUUGUGGACAAUCUGUGGGAGUAGUCUUUUACCAAUGCUAUAAUUUCUGUGGGCAAUAGCCAUUAGUAGGAGCCCUGCAAACUUCACUUAACUCUAUAUGUAUCUUAUUUUUCUUGUUAAGUUUUUAGAAUUUUGCUUGUAUCUUUUAUGUGGUUUAGAAAAUGGUAGGAUCAUAAUAUUUUAAAAGCAAUGAAAAAACAAUAUGCCUUAUUGAAAAGAUUGAGAUUUACCUCAUUCUGCACCCCAAUCAUAAUAUUGAACAACUCCAGAGUGAAACAGAUGAAUUGAUGCAAAUUUAAUGUGAUUGAAUUUCAUUACCUGCCAUGGUUUCCCAUAAUAGGUUUAUGUUUUUUCAUCCCUUCUUGUAUGAGUAAAUCCUCAAAUCCUAAUGGUUUAAAUCUUACUUUUUAACUCUCUUCAGCUAGUUGGUGGCUUAUUUUAUGCUCCCUAGAAGCUAUAGCUAUCCUGCAUGGACGUGACAUUAAGAGUCAUAUGGAUUGGUUAUUCAAGUUGGUUCAAGCUUAUGAUUUGGAUUUUGAACUUGGCCUCUAGGCUAAAUUCUUUGCUAGAAAAAUGGCAUGCCUUUUGAUUGAAAUGACAAUGUUAUUUGUGCCAGGUUGUUAACUGGUAUAUUGAUGAAGGUGUGGCAGAGCUUGUCCCAGGAGUUCUAUUCAUUGAUGAGGUUGAGUUCUUUCCUGCUUAUGAUACAUGUCCUUCGAUGCAAGGAUACAAUAUGUAUUUUUCUGUUUAUGUGCAUGCACAUAUUUAGAUCGAAGAUAUUUAUCAUGACCUGUGCACAUGUUAAGCACAUUUGCACAUCGGGCUUGCUUAUGCUUUCCAAGUCAUGAUUUGCAGGUUCAUAUGCUGGACAUGGAGUGUUUUUCAUACUUGAAUCGUGCUUUAGAGAGCUCACUAUCUCCAAUAGUAAUUUUUGCUACAAAUAGAGGAAUAUGUAACGUAAGGUAAUGAAAAUUGUUUCUGAGCCAUAUGAAUUUUUGGUUUAUCGUCUGUUCUUUUAAUCACAUCUAUAUAACUUUACCUCAAAUACAAGAUGAGCUAUUAUUCUAAUCAUCUGGACUUAGUUUCAGUACUUCAGAUCCUAGUGAAACAAUGUCAUUGGUUUAGUCUUGUUUUCUAUAAAUCAUAGCAUGCAGAAAUAGCUUGAUGCAACAAUAAUAUCAACCCUAAAGGGUUUUGGUUAUUGGGGACAAUUUUUUCUUGUAUAUAUUCAGAAUUUAGGCUCUCAUAAUUGAGGAGCAGUGGUAGGUUGAAACAUAAAUGUGAUACAAAAUUGAGAUGUUCACACAGAAUUUAGGCUCUCAUAAUUGAGGAACAGUGAUAGGGUUAGCAUAAAUGUCCCAGGCUUGAAAUUUAAGAAUCAAAAUGAGUGAUCUUCUGCAAGAUUGUUUUUUUCUGGGAAUACCUGAAGAUAAAUUUCAUAUCAGCUGUUAUAUUUUUCGGUUGGCAUAGUUUUUACAUGUUCAUUUUCCUUGCAUAAUGUUGAAUAUCUUCUACAACAUGAUUUCUUUUUUGACAUGAAGAUGGAACUUAUGUCAAUUUUUAUAUUUUAUAAUAUAUUCUACAUUGCUUAUGCAUUGCCUGAUUGGUUUGAUUCUAGUUUGUGAAAAAUGAAUAUGCAUUUUGCAGGGGUACUGAUAUGAAUAGUCCUCAUGGCAUACCUGUUGACUUAUUGGACAGAUUGGUGAUCAUCCGCACACAGAUAUAUGGUCCUUCAGAAAUGAUACAGGUUAGGGCCUGGUUAUAUGUAAUUUUUGACAUCGGCAUUUUGUUAUUUGUGGCAAGCAUCAAAUGAAAACUCAGCCAAAAUUUUCACUUAUUUGGUGUAUGCAGAUUUUAGCCAUCCGUGCACAGGUGGAAGAACUGGUUGUGGAUGAAGAAAGUCUGGCGUUCCUCGGAGAGAUUGGACAAAGCACAUCUUUAAGGUCAGGUUUAAAAUAUAGAUUUACUCCACUAUCAGUUGCACUUUUCCAACUUGAAGCAUACUUACAUGUUACUGUUUCUUCAGGCAUGCAGUUCAACUGUUAUCACCUGCUAGCAUUGCGGCAAAAAUGAAUGGUCGAGACAACAUAUGCAAGGUAAUUAAAUAUUCAGAAGAAGCUGUUUUUCAUGAUUGUUUACUUAUCAUCAAUGCAAGGAGUAAAUGUGAAUCCGUUAUUAUGUAUUUGUUUUUAGGCGGAUCUUGAGGAAGUGAGCAAGCUAUACAUAGAUGCCAAGUCUUCGGCAAAAAUUCUUCAAGAGCAACAGGAAAAAUUCAUUUCAUGAUAAUCCUAUUUUUAUAUCUUCUUUCCUCUUGCCCUUCAGUUUUAGGUUGAAUUUUGUUGUGCAUUGUUUUCUCUCAGUUGGACAAUUGAUCAUUAGUAUGUGCAAUGCAAGAUGAUUAAAUGAUUUAUUAUUGAUUUGCUUUAAGACAUCUAGGGUUCUUUGAACAACCUCAUGUCUCAGGCCAGGUAAAUCACAUAUAAAAUGCAACCAACUCCUCUCCACCGUUAUAAGAAGUAGCAGAGGUGUCAUAGAAAACGGCUGAAGCUUUGAACCACGGUAGCUCCAAUGUUAAGGUUGGAGGUGUCGCCACCCUGGAAAACCUCAGCAAAGAGCGGUCCGUCAGGUUGUGGGGUGGCAUAGAGUUAUCAAUGUUGGAAUCAGAAAUUAAUCCUGUUAACUUUUAAUUAUAACAAAAAAGGGUUUACAUGUGCUUGAAUAUAAAACCAAUUUUGUCAUCAAGCUUUGUAAAACUUGCAUUUGAUAGAAGGUGAAAAUCAUAUUGUUAUGAUUGGGUCGGUAGUAAAGAAUUCGAAGUCUUUUUAAACAAAGUUUUCUGAAAAAUCAUUUUUGGAGAGUUUUGACAUUAAAUUGAGUAAAAAAUGGAGAAAACCAAAAGUCAGUUCGAAUUGUACUGUUUAGUUUAGUUUAGUUUUAUUAAAUUAAAAAAUAAAUAAAUUCAGUUUUGGUUUGGUUAUUGGUUUUAUUAUAGGAACUGAAUUGAAUUCUUUUAUUUAUUUAUUAUUUUUAAAACAAAAAAUAAAUAUUUUUUACAAAAUAGUAAAAAAUAAUUUUAAAAUUUCUAAAAAUAAUGAAUUGAACCGAUUUGAAGUAAUAAAAUUGGGUUUAAUUCGAUGCUCUUGAGAUUGAGUCAGAUUAUGGUUGGAUUUUUCAAACCUAAACCGUUAUCCCUCAGUUGAGAGUUGAAUGCAACUACAGAAGAUGUUAGUGAAAAAGAAAAAAUAUUAUCAGUGUUUAAAAUAAAUCCUGAACAAAGGGAUUAAGCAAUGGAAGAACCUUGAGGAGAGCGGUGGAAGACGUGACAACCUACGAGUAAAGCUCAAAUUGACUUGAUGAACCCUUAAACGCGGUGAUGGAGGUCUAAUCAAGUACUUUAAUGGUACGAUACUAUUAUCAUAUCCCUAACCUCAAACGUAACGCAACGCCACGUGACGAUACAGGUCCGUACCAACUGUCAAAACAAUCUGUCCUUCACUUGUCCCACAAUCAGACAUCACAUCACAUCACAUCACUACCCCUUCCAUACGCAAAAACUGAGAAACAAAAAUAACCAAGUUUCCAACUUCAAAAAACCAAACCCAGAAGCCAAAGCAAAGCAAAGCACAACUUUUAACGUAUCAUCAAUCCCUUUCCUCCAAGCAAACCCAACCAAAAGCCACGACAAACAAAACACUUGUUUUUUCUUUACACCAAAUAAAGAAGAAAAAGAACAAGGAACAAGGACAAGUUUGUGUUUCGGUUGGAUCAUGAUGGCAGGUGAAGGGGUUUCAAGAGAAACCCAAAUGUCUAUUCAAGCCUCUUCAAUGUUUCCAGGGUUUAGAUUUUCACCAACUGAUGUUGAGCUCAUUUCUUAUUACUUAAAAAAGAAACUGGAUGGUUAUGACAAAUGUGUUGAGGUCAUUCCUGAGAUUGAAAUUUGCAGAUAUGAGCCUUGGGACUUGCCAGGUUAACGGCCCAUUUUAAUUCUCUAAUUUCUUAUAAUGAUAUUAUACAUGAUGCUAUUGCAUUUAGGUUUUAGUAAUACAUGCCUGGAGGAUUCUACUUUGUUCUUGUUAUAUAUUCGGUGGUGUGAUUUCUGGUGUUUUUUUCCCUGUAUCAGCUAAGUCCAUCAUAAAGUCAGAUAAUGAAUGGUUCUUCUUUUGUGCUCGAGGAAGGAAGUACCCAAAUGGUUCACAAAGUAGACGAGCAACCGAACAGGGUUAUUGGAAAGCCACAGGGAAAGAACGUAAUGUGAAGUCCGGUUCGAAUGUGAUCGGCACGAAGAGGACUCUCGUCUUCCACACAGGUCGUGCUCCGAAAGGGGAAAGGACCGAAUGGAUCAUGCAUGAAUAUUGCAUGAAAGGAAAAUCCCAGGUUACUAAUUCUCUUAUAAUACUAACAUAUGAACAAUAAUUGCUCUUGUUAGUCAUUGACAGUGUUUUUCUUUUUUGCUGUUGGUGAUUUUUAGGAUUCCCUAGUGGUAUGCCGUCUUAGGAAGAACAGCGAGUUUCGUCUGAAUAACAAUUCGAAUCGGGUUGCUCGGAAUCACAGGGAGUUGUCAAUCGUGCAUGACAGCAACCAUGCUACCUCAGAUGGUGGAACUGAUCUAACUGGCAUCUCUGAAGGGGACAAGGCAAUUGAAUUCUAUUCAAAGAAGGCUACUAGCAGUAACGAUUCUCAUUCUAUAGAGCAAAUCGAUUCGGCAUCCGAAUCCGAGCAAAAGCUUUCCAAUGAAGUUGCACCAACAGAGUCUUCUACACUUAAGAAGGUUGUUAAAAUCAACAAGAUUGGUGGUUUUAAUUCAUAAUCAUAAUGCAAAUGAACACGAAUAUAAUCAUGUUUUUUUUGCUUAAAAUUUACAGGAUUCUGAUGAUGAAGAAGAUUUCUUCGCUGAGAUACUGAAAGAUGAUAUAAUCAGGCUUGAUGAAACUUCAUUGUCAGCCUCAACACCUGAGAUUUUGCCUAUGAUAGCCACCACUACCCACCGUGUAUCCCUUCUCCAGGGCGGAGCAAACCGGAGAAUCAGAUUGACGAGGACUAAAGCAGAUGUCAUCCAACAUGGCACCGGUGGGAUCUCGACCAAGAAAUGGAAGUCGGAGGGACCACCAAAAUGUUUGCUAUCUGUAUUCUCACCGAGGACUGCCAUUUUAGUCAUCCUGAUAACUUUACUGGCUUUGUUGCUGCCAUGUUCCAACUUCAAAAGCAGCAAAGUAUUUCAAAUAUGAUGCAUUGUAGCAGCAGAAGUUAUGGGAAUGAAUAGCGUUCAUAGUUGAGGGCAUUUGAUUAUUUCAACAUUGAGUUCUUUAUCUGGGGGUGUAAAAGAAUCCAGUUUGGUUAGUUUAAAUGGUCAUGAAUAAUAUAGUUAUUUGUAUUCAAGUUUUUCUUCUUUCAUAUUUAGUCUAAAAGCUAGCCAACAUAAGUUUGUUUAUGGGUGAGGCUGUAUCCAACCCAGGACCUAGUCUUUUGUUCUUACAUGAGAAGCUUUGUUGAUAAAAACAUGUUCAUAAAAAUAUAUUAUCCAAUAAAUUUACAAAUAAUUAAAAAUAAACUAAUUCAAUCAAGUUAAUUAUUAAAAUAUCCUUUACAUAUGAGAAUACUUUUAUUUUUUCAUUUAAAAGUUGCAAAUGUUGGUCUAGUCGGUGGUGCUGACUAUUCAUUUUACUCGUUUUACUAGCAUUGGGUGUUGGUGUUGGGAGCUUCUAUUUUUCUUUGCAUAUUCGGAGUUGGCCGAGGAGAGCUCAUCAGAGGCGGUUGGGAUUUUUGUGCUCCUUUCUGAUUGUUUCCUUGUUUCUUUAGGGUUUGUUUGUUUCCUUUUGUUGUAUUUGUUUUUUGGUUUUUAUUUUGUUGUACGGUGUCCUUUUGUUUCCUUAAUAAAUUCUAGCCUUCAUUCAAUAUAUAUAUUAGAAUUUUUUUUAAAACAUGCUAUAUGUGUAUAUAUAUAAUUUUUAUAAUUUCUAAAACUUUUAAUAUUUAUUUAUAAUUUUUAAUAAUUUAAGAAACAAGCUCAAAAUAAAUUUGGACAAAUGGUUGUUCAGGUUUAUUCAAGUCUGGACAAUCAUAUGUCUAGAUUUAUUUUGAAUGCAUAAAAAAAAUAUUUAAUUUUAAAAAUAUUGUUAGGCUAGCAAGAGUUACACAUUGCCCGUCAUCUAUCGCUGUUUGAUUGCUACUCAACCUCGUUAGCACUUAACAAUAGAAAUAGAUGAAAAUUUUAACAAAUUAGCUAAUUUACUUUAAUUUAAUCUACAUGAUUUAAUUUGCUCAUUUUUUAAUUAGUAGUUAGACAAAAUGUAAUCCAAUUUGUACGGGCUUGAUGGUACUUUUACUAAUAGAAGAAUAAUGGGUAAACUAAAUCUAAUGUCACUAAACUAUUAGUAAAUUUACACUUUAGCCACUUAACUUCAAAAAAUUACAAAUUGAUAACUAAACUAUUUGAAAGUUACAAGUUGGUCUUAGCCUAUUAAGUUUCUAACCGAUGUUAGAUGUGAGGAUGGCUAAUCUACAAUUCAGUCAUGAAAUUAUUAAUAAUUUUAUAAUUUAGUCACUCAAUUAUUAAUAAAUUUAUAAUUUAGUCACUCUCAACAUAAUUUAAUAAAAGAUACUAUUAAGUUAUUUUUUAUUCUCUCAACUAAAUAAAAGAAUAUAUAUUCUAUAGGCUAAACCAAAAAAAUAAAAUCAUUCUCAAUAGCAUGUUAACUAAUGAAGGAAAUUAACAAAUUUGACUAGCUUUUAUCUUGUUGAUUGAUUUGCUUCUAACCAUUACUAUGAAAAAGAAAAGGGUAAUUACACCAACAGUCACUCAACUUUGGGAUAGCUGAUAAAACAGACAUGUUGGUUUCAUUUCAGUCACUCAACUUUAGAAAAAUAAUAAAACAAUAAUUUUUACUGUUUUCUAUUACUGACGUAACGAAAAAAUAACAUGGCAUAUGACAGCGUACUUGGUGUCAUUAAUCAUCCAGUUGGCAUAUGACAGCGUACUUGGUGUCAUUAAUCAUCCAGUUGGCCGAUUAGCACCAAUAUAAACAACCCCUUCAGCAUUAAUUUAGGGUUUAUGCAAUAGAAAAAGAAGAGAAGAAGAAGAUGAGAAGGAGGAGGAGAAGGAGGAGAAAAAGAAGAAGAGAAAAAAAAGGGAUUUGGGAUGGUUUCUGUCUAAGGCAAAGAGGUUAUCAAAAGGAAAGAAGGGUUUGUUGUUAAGGAUUGAAGUAGGGCUAUUGAGAGAUUCAGUGUCGGGAAAGGCUUUUGAAAUGAAAGCUUUAAAUCGUGGAGAAUCGAAGAAAGAUGGGAUUUGUUUAGUGCAAUUCUGGGUAGGGGAUGAUGCUUGAGAGCUGUGAUCAGCCAUUAAAGUUUACUUGCUAGUCACUGCUCUGGACUUAUUCCUCAGCAUACCUACCUAUCCUCUUUUUAUUAGAUGGAUAUCAGAAUCAAACCCGCCAAAUUUCUAAUAUGGAACAACUGCAAAAACAAGGAAACAAUCAGAAUUUGAUUAGAAAAAGAAGAAAAAAAAGUGGGGAAGCAAAAGAUGAAAUGGGAGAACCCAGAUCUAAAAGCUCUUUUUUUAUUCUUAUUUGUGUUGAGUGUUUUUCUUUUUCAUCUUGUUUGUUUUCUCUGUCUAAUCACUUUGUCAAACUUGUUAGGCAAAAAGAAAGGACAAGACAAUAAGAAGAAAUUGAAACCAAAAUUAGGAUUUAGAAAUUGGUAAAUACUAAAAACCCAUAUCUUUCUCUCUUUCUCCAGCUUUAUUCUUCUUAUUGUCCUUCAAUCUUUGUUUUUUGUUCUGGUUACUUAUGUACUGUUAUUGACCAAAAUUAGGCAGAGAAGACUUCUUUUUGGCGAUUUAGUAUUUCAAGAAGAAAUUUCUCUAGUGGACAAAAUUUAGCAUUUGAAAUUGAUCCAUAAUAGAAGAAGAAGAAUAUUGAGGAAAAAAACCUAAUCCAAUUUAAUGGUGGUGCAAGUGGUGAUGGCCAGAGUACUUGUCGGUGUUGCUGGUUUGUUUGUAGGGUCAGUUGUAUUGGGGUCGUUGGCGACUUUGAGAGGGAUUUUACAUUCUCUUCUUCUUCUUUUUCUUGGACAGUUGUAUUGGGGUCGUUGGAGACUUUGGGUUAGUUAAUUGGCCACGUCAGCUAGUUAACUGGCCACAUCACCUAUCCCAUUAAGUUUAUAACUAAAAAUGUUAGUGGGUGACUGAUUUGUCACUUUUUGAUAACACUAGUGACUGUUUUGUUAUUUUUCUAAAUUUGCGUGACUAAAAUGAAUCCAAAGUGACUGUUUAUCAGCUACCCCAAAAUUAAGUGACUGUUGAUGUAAUUUACCUAAAAGAAAACCUUUCUUCAUAAUGAUUGAUUUUCUUCUUAUUUUAGCACCUAUAUAUCUUCGCAUCACUUUUAUCAUUAUUAUUUUAUCUAAUUAAUAACUAAAGAGAUUUGCUACUAGCAAUUAAAGACUUAUUACUUCAUUAUACAAUUUAUCAACUCACUUUUUAUUUGAUUAAUUGACAAAAAAUAAAAAUAAAAAACCCUAGGAUAUUAAUUUGGUUGAGAAAAUAUAAAGUAACCUAAUACCACAUUUUAUUUAAUUGUUUCAAUGGAAAAAUUAUUAAAUUAUUCUAAUAGUGACUAAAUUGUAAAUUUACUAAUAAUUAAGUGAUCAAAUUGUAAAAUUACCUAUCACGACGUUUUAUCGUCGGUUAGUAACUUAACGGGCUAGUGACCAACUUGUAACAUUCCAAUAGUUUAGUGAACUUGGUGUAGUUUACCCAAAUAAAUGGCUUUAUUUUUCUUUUCCGCCAUUGAUAAUUGCUUCCUUCGUUGUAUAAACGAAAGUAAAAGAAAAUCGACUCAGAAAAAGAAGUACAAAAAGAAGCCUUAGCUUCAAAACUCACUUAGAACUCUCCGAAGAGGAGUUGAGAAUGUGUUGAUCGAUCAUGAAUUCAGGGUUUCCUCAUUAACUUUGAUCUGUAAGUUUUUUCCCGACUUCCCUUUUUUAAUUUGGGCAUUUUCUUCAUUUCUUCAAAUAAUUUGGUCGAAGAUAGUAAAUUCGGUUUCUUUUUUGGUUGUUAAGAUAGUUUAGGAAAAUACGAAGUGCCGAUUUCCGAGAAUUUCUUUAAGAAAAAAGAAAUUGGAAAUGCCAUUUGGGGCUUUAUAUGAAAAUUUAUUUUUACUUUAUUAAUUUUUUUUUGGGAUAAGUUAUCUAAUUUGAAUAUAUAAAAACGUGGGAAAUUUUGUUUUACUUGGAUUUUUCUUAAUUUUCUCGGCAACCGAGCAGAAAGUUGAGUUUUUUUAGCUGAAUUUGAUCCUUAAUAGUUGCUUUUGAGUUAUUUUUACGUGUUAGGAUUUGGUUUGUAUGAAAUUACUGCAUUUCUUCAUGAAUAUCCAUCUCAAUCUUGGGUUGGAUUUUUUAGUUUAAUAAGUUUGGUUAAUCGCGUUUCAAAUGAUUAUAAUAAGAAAUUUAGAUCGAACAAACUAUAAAUAGUUCUUUCGGCAUUCCCACUGUCUCUUAAUAGGAAUGUUUAUGGUAUGGUUUCAUAGAAUGUUGAAUGUGGGUUUUUUUUUUCUCAAGUUACAGGUUUCGUAAGAGACUUAGAUAAAAAUGUCGAGACCGAUGUUACUUGUUUUCCUAUUUAUUAUAAUCAUAAUCACCUCACAAUUUGAGUGGAGGCAACCACUUGUUGUUGAUGUUGACACGACCCCGAGUGUAUCGCAGAAGCCGCAACAAAUUUCAAGGAGGGAAGAAGCUGUGAAAGAAAAGGUGACAAGCCUUGUACUUUUUUUUUUUUUACCAAUUCUAAUUAAAAUUUCAAGUUUAUCUUCUCUUGAUGGAAAAGAGUUGAAUAAUGAGAUUAGUUUCAUUGAAAUGCAUACGUCUUAUGUGACAUAUUAUAUGUAUAGUUGGUAUGUAAACUUAAGCUGAAUUGCAAAAUGCAAACCCUUUUUUAUCUCUUAUCUUUUCAUUUUCUAAUAAGCUUGCUACCGUUGGUUUAUUCAGUGUAGGAAGUUAGUCCGUUUAAAUGCAAAGCAAAAUGUUUUAUACCCUUGUUUAGCAAUUGCUUCUGUAAGCUUCCCUCUCAGUGUUUUGUUUGAGUUUUAUCUUUAUCUUUAAGAUUUAUGUUUGCUCAAAACAUGGUAUAGGAUAGAAGGAACUGUGCUAUUGCAACCUCUGAUAUGCCAAAAGGCAGAAACUAGGUACUUGGGAAAUGUUUGCCUUCAGUAGCAAAGUAUAACGAGGGCGUUGUCUUGAUCCAUAUCUUCCACCAGCAAUUUUACUUCUGAUUGACUUUGAGUGGAAAUUUGUCAAUUGCAGAUCAUCUUAUCACAAGAGAAGAAGAUUCAGAGACUUAAUGAACUUGUGCGGAGUCUUGAGCAGCAACUGCUGCAGUGCAAGGGUGAUAACAAGACAACUAAUGGCACUGUAAGUUAUUUGACUGAACGGAUUCUUGAGCUUGAGAGGCAACAGAUCUUAGAGGACUAGGCAGGGUAUUAUAUCGCAAAACAUAUGCUCUGAUUGUGGUGCAUUGAAGCUUUAAAAUCCUUGUUUAUCCAUGUAAGUGUAAGUUCAAUAUUUCAUUUGUUGUAAGUUAUAUGGUUUUUCCCCUUCAUUUGUGUCCACUCCAUCUCUUCCAAAUGGAAGCGGUGAAAGCUAUGCACACAGUAUAAAUCAUCCAUUUUACAAUCCUUAGUCAUUGCCAAGUGGCUGCUGUUAUUUGACUCAGCUACUUUGAAACCAAUCUUCUGUUAUUAUACUGUAUUAGAAUUAUCAGCAACAUUUAGCCGAUUGAGAAUGAAAAAAAGCUAUGAUGAGUUUCAUGGUGUAGGUAGUCGGCUCAUAUAUGAUGCUAAGAAAAAGUUAUUUUCUGUGUUUACAUGCUACAUGAUUUUGUGAGUUGACUCCAAAAGUUCUCAUAUAUGAGCUCUAGAUUCUGCUAUUUUGCUCUGGAUGUAUUGUUUCCAUGAUAUAUUGCUCUGUUUCCAUGGUGUAGUCUUCUUGUCAUGCAUGCAUCGGAAUAUAAGCAGAGACUCCGCUGCUGUGUUCUGCAUGUAUCGUAGCCCCAAUAUAUUGCUUCAAUUUGCCUCAUGUUUAGGGCUUUAAGCAGAAAUUUCAAACUCCUGCAUCUGCAUAUGCUAAUGACAACUUCAGAAGAAUAGUUCAGAUUUCACAUGGAGUGGAGUUCAAGAAGUAUUUGGAUAGACAAGGUUGCUUCUGUACUGAGGAACCUCUCUAAAUGAAAAAUUCAAGAGGCCAACAGUGAUCAAAGUGCUAAAUACAUAGCAUAGAACUUGAACGAACAAAAGUUUGAGCACUUAAUAUUAUUAGAGAUUUAUGGGAUUUUUAAAUUGGCCCGUCUGUUUUUGGUCACUCAAGUAUGAAUUUUUUUAUUAUUAUAAAAAUUGGUCACUUAAUUAUGGGUUUGCUUCUUUUUUUGUCAUCUAACUAUGUAUAUUUUUUAAAUUGGCUGCCCAAUAAAUCAAGAAUUUUUUUUUGGGUCCAUUUUCGUUAACAUAAUAGUUAAAAAAAUCAGUAGUUUUCAAUUUUUACAUAUGAUAUCGGUUUAGUCAUAAUUUUUAAAAAUUAACUUUCAAAAUUUAUAAAUAGUCUCAAUUUGAUCUUAAUUCUAAAAAAAUUAAAAAAAUAUAAAAAAAUACAUAAAUAUUUAAAAAAAUAUAAUAAAUUUUUAAAAAAUGUAAAAUAAAAAAUGAUUUAUAUUAAUAUUAAAUAUAAAUAAUUAUAUUAAUAUCAAAUAAAAUAAAAAUACCCCAUCCCCAUCCCAUCUCUCUCUCUCUUUCAGUUCUUAGUUUCAUAUGAACUUGCAAUGGUUUCAUAUGGGGAGGGAAUAAAUUUCUUAAAUCUGUAGUUCUAUUUUGUUUUUCAAAAUCUUGCAUUGUAUCAAAAUGUUGCAUUGCAAGUUGAAAUGAAAAAUUAUAUAAUUUCCACUAAGUGGUAACUUGCAAUGGUUUCAUAUGGGGGAGAGAAUAAAUUUCACUUCGAUCCACAUUGAAGUUUCAUUUCAUCUUAAAUUAUUUGUGUUGUAUUAAGAUAAUUCAUGUCACUAAUAUAUUUGCUUACCUCUAAUCAAGCAACUUUAAUUCAUCUCUAUUGCAAAUUCUAACUCAUUUCCUUAAACUUAAAAUUAGAAAAUUGUGUCCAAAACUCAGAACAUACUCCCUAAAAACUUAGAAAUUUGUUUGAUGCUUAUGGGCAAGUUCUCAAUAUUGUUUCCAUUUAAAUCUAUGUCUCCAAGGAAGAUAACCCAUGGAGAUUUAACAUUAAAUGUUAUCCAACAUUGAGUUUGUCAAAUACAGAAAUGAUCCAACCUCAAUUAACAAAGAACUCGAGUCAAUUUUUUUUUUUGUGCUUUUAAAAGUUAUCUUUGUGAAGAUGAAAACUGUGAAGUGAAAGUUGACAACACCGUAAGUUGUAAUUAUAUUUAUCAAUCAAUAAUGGCACCAUAGGUGAGUGUAUAAUAUUAAUUUUAUGUUUUUAUAAAUUAAUGAGGUGUCGAUAUUCCUCAAAAGUUAACUUGAACAAAAUUAAUUAUAUUUAAUUUUUUUUAAUUUUUAAAAAUUAAUAUUAUAUUAUUUUAAUAUUACAAUAUUCAAUAUUACUAAACAUAGACAUAUAUAUGAAUAAUAUUUCAUAUAUCAUUUUAAUAAUAAAUUGUUAUAACCAAUACUAUUUAUUAUUUGAAUAAAAAUAUUUUGAGUAUUAAAAUAUUUAAUAAUAGAUAGUAUUUUUAAUAUUUUAUUUUAUAUUAUUAAUUUUUUAAUAAUGAAUAAUGUUAUUUUAUGUAUUUAAUAAUAAAUACUAUUUAUGAUAAUAUUUGAGGAAUGUGAUGAUGCAAACAAGAUGGGGGGCAUAACUUAGAAAAGGCUUCACUUAUCAUUAUAGUAAUGCUUGUGAUUAUGUUAGCAAAAGAUUUAAAACAUUCACAUGGUAUUUAAAACAAAAAUAAAUAAAAAAAGAUAAAAGCUUUUUAGGUGCUUUAAUUAAAACCCUUCUUCUCCAAAUUCAAAAGGGGAGGCUUUCAGGUUUGAACACAUCAACUCUCAACAAAUCAUCUUUAAUUGCUACUCAUAAAUAAAAACAAAUUAGCAAACAUUAAAUGAUUUUUAAGUUAUAUAAUGAUGAAUUAAUGUCUUUUAAAACCUUUUCACAACUUUGGUAUCAAUUUAGUUUCUUGGAUUUGUUAUACUAAUUUCAGUUUUUAAUGUUUGAUUUUUCAGCAUUCAAAUUAAAGAAUAUGGAUUAAAUUUACAAUUUACGUAUGAUACAUCAUCAAUAGCAAAAAUUGAUCUAACAAAAUUAAUUGUUAUUGUUUGAGUUAAAACUGAAAUUUCAAAAGUUAAAAAAUAUAAAAACUACAAUUAACUAAAUUUGAAUAUAAAAACUAAAUCCAUAAUUACACAUAAUACAUGGACUAAUAAUAAAAUUUGACCUUUUUAAUUAAAAGGACCAAGAUAUUAAAAAAGAUAUGAAAUAAGUUGGUUUAUGAGUUGCAAUAUUCGUGAAAACUUAUCCCAAAUUAAUUAUCUAAUUAAAAGUAUUUUUAUUAAUUAUCAAAAAUUAUUUUUAUUCAUUUUAUGGAUAGUGAAUUAUGGAGACAAAAUAAUCUUUCAUUGGAUAUUUAUUUGAAUAUUCGAAGACAACGUAUAUAUUUGAUGAAAUUGUUUAUUUGUUUAUUAAAAUUAUCAACAUUUAUUUAUGAUAUAUUAUAGUAUCUAUCCAAAGGUGAGUUGAGAUAUACUUGAUUGUUGUUUAUAUGAAAUUAUGAAUCAACAAAGUAAAUUUAAUAUUUAUAGCAUUUGCAUAUUAUUUUGCAGUUAUUUCUCUUUAUUCAUAUGACUUAUAUGUUCUAUUAGUUAAUCAUUUAAACUUCUUUGACUAGAGUGAAUUAGUUAAGUUCCAUUUAGGUGUUUGGAUAUUAACUUGUCACUAUUAGAAGAUAAAUUGCUGCUAUCGCUAACUUAAGCAAUUAGGAAAAGAAGUUGUACUGUAAGCAAUGAGGACGGUCAAACAAUUGAUCAUUAUGUUCUUGCAAAUGAAUAUUGUUAACAACAUUAUGAUUAUAAUUCCACAAAUUAAGAGCGUAAAAAAAUUUCUUAUGUUUGUGAAAGAAUGUUCCUGUUAUGCAAACAAGUCACCCACUGGUAUUUUAAUGGCAUAACUCAUGCCCAUGAUGUUUGAUGGGUCGAGGGGAGUGCAAGAACAUAUCAUCAAGAUGAUUGAUAUUGUAAUAAGGUAAAGACCUUGACGUGAUGGUGGAUGACUCUUUCUCAGUGUAAUUCAUUUUGAACUUACUAUUUUCAAAUUAUGAGUAAAUCCAAAUUAGCUAUAACAUUAUUAAAGUUGAGUGGAAUGUUAAUGAAUUGACUAGUAAGCUCGUUCAUGAAGAGAAAAGAAUAAUGAAUAAAAAAUCAAAGGAAGUUAUUCCAUCAACCUUGUUGGUAAAAGAGUUGACAAAGUACUUAGGUGAAAACCAACAAAUUUACAAAGAAAAAUACACAAGUUAAUGUAUCUAAUAGAGAAAAAAGGGAAUGAACGACAAAUAAGUGUCACUUAUGUAAGAAAGUAGGACAAUUCAGAAAGAUUUUAAAAAAUGUAAAGCUUGGUUUGAAAAGAAAUGUAACUUUUAUGCUUUUGUAUGUUUUGAAUCAAACUCAGUUGAAGUUUCUUAUAAUACUUGAUGGCUUGACUUUAGCGUUAAUGUAUUCAACAUGAUGUAGAGAUUCUUUUUUAUUCAAACCACAAAUCACAUGAAGGUUUUAAUUGAAGGCAUGGGGACUUAUUAUUUGGUAUGGGAUAUUGGGUAUCACUUAAACUAUUUUAGAACCUUUUAUUACUUUUAAAUAUUAGGAACUUUAUUAUUAUUUCAAAACUUGAUGUUAUUGGAUUUAAUAUUAAGUUUGGAUAUGAUUGUUUUGGUUUGUAUAAGAAUAGCAUUGUUGUCGGUUCUAGGAAACCUUGUUGAUGGUUUAUAUAAAAUGAAACUUGAUAAUAUUUUUGUUGAAUUCGUACUUAUUUAUCAUAGAAAUGUUGGAAUUAAAUGUAGUAUGCUAAAUGAAAUCUCUACUUAUUUGUGGCAUAAAUGCUUGGGCUAUGCAUCCAAAUAAAGGCUAGGAAAUUUAGUACAAAAAAAUGAUAAUCUAUUGAAAUUAGAUUUUAUUGAUCUUGGUGGGUGAGGAUUGCAUUAAGAAAAAGAAAGCCAAACAUACCAAGAAAGACAACACAAGAAGUACUCGACUUCUUGAAAUAACACAAAUUGAAUCGAGACAAUGUUUAGAUCCAUUUACAAAAUUUCUCUUCAACAAAAUGGUGUUGUAAAAAGGCAUAUUAGACUUUAAUAAAUUUGGUUAGGAGUAUGAUGAACAACUCAUUACUUAUUCAUUGUGGAUACAUGAACUCAAAAUCGUUGUAUAUUUGUUAAACAAGUUCCUAGUAAGAUAAUUCCUAAAACUCAUUUUGAGUUGUGGACUGGAAGAAAACUUAACGUAAGACACCUACAUGUUUGGGAUUACCAAAGGAGAGUAAGAAUAUAUAAUAUAUGUGAAAGAAUAUAUGACCUAUUAAUGAGUUUCUUGAUUAUUUCUUCCAAAAUUUUCAACUUUCUCAAGAAUUUUUCUUAAUCCUCACAAUGGCUCGUGUUAAAAUCACUUCCCAAGAACAUUAUGAGAAAUCUCAACAAUAGAGGUAAAUAAUGAGAGAGUCCUCUAUGUCUCAAACUCGAGUACAAUAGGUAAUAUUCGUAAUGGUAGCUGUAAUAGCCACUACUAUAGACACAUUGUAGGAGGUUGUUACCCAGAAGGCCUCCAUUACUCUUAUCCCUUAUGCCUCCUCAAAGGAGUCUAUGCUUGUAAUGACUAUUGAGGCAGGCGGAGAUUUUUUUUUACCAUGGAUGUUAAAAUUGCAAAGGUUCAACCUUCUGAACAGAUUCAACAUGCAAUUGCUGAAAUUGAUACUUUUUUUUAGCAAUCCACUUGUGCUUGAGCACUCUCCUAUGCUUGAGGAGAAGAUAGAUGCCCUAAUUCAACUUGUUACCAACUAAGGUAAUAUCGUUUCAACCAUGAUGAAACCUUGGUUAAUAAUGCUAGCAAUUUUGAUUUUACUAAAUCUGAUAGUCUUAUUGAUACAUAUGCUUUUACCACUACUAUUAUUGAGUUUGAUAUUGUACGUAAGAGAGUUGGAAAAGAUGCAAUGCAAGAUGUUAGUGCCUUUGAAAACCUUAAUCUUAAUCUCAUUGGGGAUGAUGGUGAACCUGAUACAUAUGAAAAAGAGGUUCAGGUCAUUGCAGUUACUCCUGCAGGGCCCACUUUCACAAGCAUAACAUAAUACAGAAAAGGAAAACUUAUUCUAUAAUGGCUAAAGAAUUUCAGAGUUUUCUUUUGCUACCAAGUCUAAUCAAAUGAAAGCACCCAUUCAACUAAAAGCUUCCAAGAAAAGGAGAGUUGAGACAAAAAGUUCAUCUAAUUCUUCUAAUGAAUUAGAAACUUAAAAUGAAUUAAAAACUUAAACUACCCCUAAUUUUGAUGGAUAUGCUACUUUAAAGGAGUUAUUUGGAGAAAAAGCUAGAACAAGGUGUCUUGAUGUUCCUAAGGUAGCUCAAGAAAUAAAAAAGAAGAAGGUUGAAACGAGUUGGAGUGCCCUCAAUGCUUGCUGUAGCCAAAGCCAUAGAAGAAGUAGCUUUAUUAGAAACACGUGACCAAAUCUUUUUUACUCAUGCAUGCUCUAAGAGGUAUUUUUCUAUUUUGAAAAAUAGCUUUAUUAAGAAACAAAAUAUUGAUGAGUCUAGCUUUGCUGAGCAUAGGAUCGAUUCUUUACUUGAAAAAAUAAUCUAAUGGGAUAUGUGAGUUUUGUCAAGCCAUAUAUCAGAUAGGUGUGCUUGAGUUCUAUAGAACCCCAUUACGUAGUAUAAACGAUGAUUAAAACAAGGUUUUUCACGAAGUUCACAUAAAAAAGAAGUGGUACGAUCCAGGAAGGUGAUGAACUACUAUUUUCCAGAAUAUGAUAGAGCUUAAUAAGUCCUUGGAUACUACAACUUCAAUCAUCACCAACAAUAUCCACCCAACUUAGCCAUUAAAGGUAACAUUCAUGUCUCAUCCUAAGUAAUACUUAUGCUACAUCGUUUGCCAUUUGCAUAGGAAACUGGUUGCUAAAUAGUUAAAGGGAUAUAGUUAGCGAGAAGGCACAAUGCUCAUCAGGAAAGUAGUUGAAAUGGUCGAGUUUGACCUAGGCCAAAUUGUUUAUGAAGAAGUGAUCAAACAUGCUGAAAUAGUACAUACCAAGUACCUUCUACCAUUUCCUUCCUUGAUAUUUCAAGUAUUUUUAAAGCAAAAAUCCCUAAACUUGUUUGAGCCAUUAAGAAUAUUGAGAAACUAGUUGCUAAGUUAAAGCUUUUCCUUAAAUGGAUUGAAGGAAAGCAUGCAUCCAUAGACCUUGUUGAUAAACCAGAAGUUGAAAAACAAAAACUUGCCAAUGAGACUACAUAAGUGGUUCUUGAAGUGUCCAUUGCAACAGGACUUGCGAGUAACCCUACGGGAUUGUGACACCUCACACCUGACCGGGUCCAUAUGUGAGACACCACAGUUGUUGUCGGGGUAACUCAAACUACUUAAUAGUUUCAAUUCAACAUGAGAAGUAAUCAAUAACACAUUUAAAUCAAACCAUUUCAAUAGCUUAAAUUCAUUAUUAAGACUUUUAAAACAAUUCUUAGGAGUUCGGAGGUGAUCGAGAUUGAGUAUGAGUCUUUAGGGGUCGAAGCAACUAAAAACAAGGGAGGGACCCCAUUUUGACCUAGUUAUAUUGGUAAAACCAUUAACUCUCACAAUCGAGUCAUAGCCAAACAUAUUUUGUUUACUGGCUAACUUCUUAGGGGAGAAUUCAAAGGUGAUAGAUUUAUGUCUUUAGACACAAAAGUGAGGUUGUUAUAUUGGGGUAGAACUUGAAUCACUUGUUGUAUUGAGAUUAAAGAUAGUAGAUUAACUCAAUGAGCUAGGCUCCACAAAUGUAAGGAAAUUGAAUUGCAUAAACAAUGUUGUGUGUUCUAUUUUUUUAGUUGUGUUCAUUAUAGUGGCAUCUAUAGUGGCAAUUGUAGCCAUCAUUUCCAUUCAAGUGAUCUAUUUUUCUUAGCAAUUAUCGACUGUUCAUUUCAAUAGGAAUAUAAGAUAACAUGUAAUAGCCCGAUUUUCAAUGAUGUCAAAAAUAGUGGUUCGAGACCACCAAAUCUGACAAGUGAGUUCAUAUAUUUUAUUAUUUAGUGUUUAUGAGCCAAAUGAGAUUUUAAGAAGACAUUUGAAAUAGUGAAUUGUGUUUUAGAAGAAUUUAUUAAGUUAAGUGGUUUCGAAAACGAGGUAUCGAUACCUCGAUUUCAUAAAUUGAGCCGUGAAUAUUUUUAUAAACAUUUUCGAAGUAUCAUUAAGUUAGUAUUAAAGUUUCAUUAGAAAAUUUUAACGUUUGGAUAGUUAAUUAGUUAAAAAGGACUAAAUUGAAAAAGGUACAAAAUUUGUUAAUUAAGGAAAUAGUGAUUAAAUAGCCAAAUGGUAAAUAAAGGAGGACUUAAGUGUAAAUUGGCCUAAUGAUAUGGCUAAGACGGCAUAAGUAUGAAAGAAAUAAGGAAACAAUGUGAACUAAGGGCAAAAUUGUAAAAUUUAAAAAUUAAACAAAUAAAACAACAAUUAAAAGAGUUUAUAGCAAUUUGUUCACAAUUCUCAGCCAAAAACACCAUAGAAGAGUCUCCAAAAUUUGGUUUUUCAUAUUUUUACAUCAUGUGAGUUCAAUUAUUGCUCUUUUCUUGAAUUUUUUAUAUUUUUAAGACUUUUACAAUUAGGUCUAACUAUAUAUUUCAUUAGUUUUUGAUUUUAUGGGUAAUUUUGAAGUUACCAUUGAUGAGUAUUGGAUUUUUAUGAUGAAUUAACAUGGAUUUAGAGCUUUAAUUUUAUCAUAUGAUGAUUUUAUGAAGUGAUUUCAAUAGAAAUUGAUUUUAAGACCAAAUUGUGAAAAGAUUUAAUAUUAGGGUUUGAUACUAAACUUCUAUUGAUCAAAGGUUGUAUAAUAUUUUAGAAUAUUUAGAUAAAUUGUCAAUUGAGAAAAUAAUUAGCUCAUUUGAUAGGUUAAUUGGUGAGGGACUAAAUUGUAAAAAUUGUAAAAAUUAGUGUAAUUGUGCAAUUUCAAAAAUUGAGGGAUAUUAAUUGUGAAUUGAAUUGAAAUUGAAUUAUAUGCUAAUGAAUGAUUAAUUUUAUAUUUUAGAUCAAGAGCCCGUAGAUAAUUGUGAAAAGGGGAAAUUAGCAUAAUAGUCUCUGAACUACUAUAAAUUCCACAAUUUAACCCAGGUAAGUUCACAUGGUUAAACUAUAAUAAUUAUAUUGAAUUGAUGAAUGAUAUUAAAUAUUUAGUAUAUUGUUGAAAAAUGGAAAAUUGUUAAAUUAUAAAUUUGAAGUGAAUAUACGGUUUAAAUGGAACACGAGAUUGAGUACAAUCGUUGUGUGGCAAAAGACAGCAAAGGAAGAAUUGACAGUAAAUUACCCAAGUAAACUGAAGUUCAACAUUUGUUGCAAACUCUCGUGUUUACUUUCCGUUUAGCUCACAUGAGCUUCAGUUAACUCAUAUGAGUUUCAGUUUAACGCUAUUGGGUUUCAGUUUAACUCUUAUUGUAACAUCUCGUUUUUAGUCAAAUUAAAAUAGUAGUUUUGGGAACACAAAUCCGAAGUCAAAAUAAUUAUUUUAUUAUUAUUUUAAUGUCUAUAACAUGAUAGUAUAGUUAUGUGAAAUUUUCGUUAAGAAAUUUUAUUAUUUGAGUGCUUAAUAUGAUAAAAAGGACUAAAUCGCAUAAAAUGUAAAAUUUGUGUUCUAUUAGCUAAAGGUGUCUAAUAGCUAUGAAAUUAAAUGUUUGAAGGGUUUAUGUUGUAAUUAGACCAUUAUUUAUUUGAGUGGACAAAGAUGGACUUGGUUAGGUAAAUUUUAAUUGUUAUACAUUAAGGUUAUUUAAAUAAUUUAGUAAUAAAUGUUAACAAAUUAAAGAAAAAACAAAGUAUUUUGUUGCUUAUCAUUUUAUUUACCGAUUUUGGAAGAAAGAAAAAGCCAUUUUUAGGGCCUAGAAGUUUGGCUAUCAUCUAUUGCUUGUAUGGUACAAAUUUUGAUCUCGUUUUUAAUUAUUUCUAUGUUUUUGUGAUCGUUGCAACUAGGUCUAGCUAGCCCAGGGACUAAUUUGAAAAUUUGUUAAAGGUUUACGAUGUUGUCAUUGAUGAAUAUGUAUGAGCUUUAAUGAUUGAUGGUAGAUUAUGAAUGUUUGAUGAUAGUUAUACAAGUUUUGUUAAGUGAUUUUUAGUAAAAAUGCAAAUUAGGGAUUAAAUUGUGUAAUGUGGAAACUUUAUAGUUAAAAUGUGAAAUAAAUGAAAAAUAUGGGUUUCUAGGGACCUAAUUGAAAUUCGGCUAGCAUGGGUUUUGGUUGAAUUGCAUGGAUUUGUGAUUUUAUGAAAUAAGAACUAAAUUGUAAAAACGUGAAAUAUUAAGGGCAAAAGUGUAAAGUGGCUUUAAAGUGUAUUUUGGAUUAAAUUGAAUAGAUAGGUAAUUAAAUAAGCUAAAUUUGAUAUUCUAUAGAUCAAGAAAAGCGAAAUACGGAAUUAGAUCGGAGAAAGAACAAGGUGUUGGAUUAAUCUACUCGUUUUUCCGUUUUUGCAUCCGAGGUAAGUUCGUAUGUAAUAAGCAUUAUCUUUAUUGUAUUUUAAAUGCUUUAAUAUUGCCUAAAUUAUGAAUUACGACCUUGCGGACACAUUUGACGAAGAUUUGGCAUUAGAAAUCCCGGUUGAAUCUUAGGAACAGAGUAGGAUACAAAUGACAUGUCAUUAGGGGUUACAUUGAGUUGGCUUCGGACCAUGAUAUUGACACUUUGGGUGCGAGAUAUAUUGAGUUGGCUUUAGGCCAUGAUAUUGGCACUUAGGGUGCAAAACUCUCGAGUAUCCGACUUAUAUUCCAAAUGGUUUAACGGGUAUAUCGAAGAUAUGAAAUGGUAAGAAUAGAUACGUAUCAGAAUAUGUAUGUACGGAAACUGUAUAUGUAUCGAACUUAUGAAAGAAGUGAACUCAUGAUUAUAUAGAUGAAUGAAUACAUGUUAACAUUGUGGUUAAUUAUUAUGUGGUAUGUUAUAUGCAUGAUUUGAAUAGUAAAUUAAAUAGUGAGAUUUGCUUAUUAACUUCAUACGAGCUUACUAAGCUUUAUAGCUAACUUUGUUUAUUUUUCGUGUUUUAUAGUGAUUUCAAAGCUAGCUCGGAUUGGGGACCGUUAGAGACUUCAUCACACUAUCCUACUAUCACUUGGUGCUUUUGAACUUAAGUAUAUUGAGUAUAUGGCGUGUAUAUGAGUUUAGUCAUUUUGGUAUAUAUGUUAACUAUGAAUUUAGCCAUUUGAGUUGGCUUGUAAAUGUUAAUAUUUGGUUUUGUAUAUAGCCAUGUAAGUUGGCUUAAUUUUCUUGGUUUGGUUGUGUAUAUAUAUUUGUGCAUAUGUCUUGUGUGUGAACUUGAUAGUGGAUACAUAUGAUACUUAUUGAUAAUAGGUAUUGUGGAUGUCAAUUGGUUGAUGAAUUAAGAUUAAGUAUGCUUGUGAGUUUAGACAAAUUGAUGCAUAUUUGAAAGUGGCUAUGUAGUUGAAUUGGGGAUGUAAAUUUGGUAUAACAUGCAAUAAAAUUUUGUGAUACAUGUGAGACUUAUUGUUGUUGGUAAUAUAUGCUAUGUUUUGGUGCCAAAUGGGUUGGUUUAGGUGUGUGCAAUUUGGGUGACAAAUUAGCUUGGUAAAUAGCCUAUUUUUGUCCACACGGGCAGAGACACGGACGUGUGUCUUAGCCGUGUGUGACACACGGUUAGGUUGUACAGCCGAGUGUCCCUUGGUGUUGAAAUUAAAACCAAGUCAGUAUGCUUCACGCGACUCAACACACGGGCGUGUGACUUGGCUGUGUGGUAUAAGUCAGUAUACCCUACAAGUUUGGCAUGGCCUAACACAUGGCUUGGCACACGGGCGUUUGUGGCCAUUUUUAGGGCACACGGGUUAGUCAUACAGGUGUGUGCGUUGGCCAUGUGACCCAAGUCAAAGAGUUACAUGGGGUAGGACACGGGCUGGGAUAUGGCCAUGUGCUUCCAUUUUGAAUGUCCAAACGACCUGUGACACGGGUGUGUCUUUGGCCAUGUGAGACACACGGGCAUGUGUCCCCUGUAUUUUUGAAAAAUUUUUAAGUUUCAUAAAAAUUUCCUGAGUUGUCGGUUUAGUCUCGAACCUUUUCAAAUGCAUAUUUUGGGCCUCGUAGGUUAGUAUUAGGGACAAUGUUAUUGAAUUUGAAUGAUGAUUUGCUUGAUAUUUGAAAAAGUAUAUGAAAUGAAUGUUUAAUUGUUUCUAUAGUCUGGUAAUACUCCGUAACCCUAUUUUGACAUUGAAUACGGGUGAGGGGUGUUACAUUUAUGAGCUUCUGUUCAACCCUUAUGGGUUUCCGUUUAGCACUUGUGUGCUUCUGUGCAGCCUUCGGUUUUUUGUAUACGAUGUACUCAUAUUUGUAAGUUGUUCUCAGAUUCGGUAAUGUUGGUAAGUGACAUAUGAAAUUGGUAUAUGAGAACUUAAAGUUAUUGAUAGUUUUGAUGUGAAUUAAGUGAAUUCCUAAAUUAAAGUUGUGGUUGGCAGGAAAUGUAAUUUGAAUGAUUUAUUUACUUGAUUUGGUUAUAGUAUGUUCAAUGUUUGGUAAGAUUUAUGUUUAAAACCAACGAACUUACUAAGUUUCAUUAAGCUUACUUGUGUUUUUUUAAUGUCUUUGUAGAUUAACGUGAGGUCGGGGAAUCGGAUCAACACAUCGAGCCACACUAUCCAACUUGUUUUGGUAGUUUUUGCAAUGUAUAUUUUGGUUUAUAUGGAUGUAUAGGGUGAUAAUGAUUUGUGUAAAUAUUAAGAGUCAUAUUUUGUUUACAUAUCAACCCAACUUGUAGCACCCCAAACCCGGCCCAGACGUUAUGGCUGGAUCCGACAUGCCACAUCGAAGCGUUAAAAACAUUUUAUAUUGUUGAUCCAGAAAAAACCUACUUAGUGUUUUAAUUGAUAAUUUCAUUAUAGGUUAAAGUGAAUGGAAGCUGUGCACCAUGUAGGAAACCGUAAAAGAGGUGGUGAGUCCAUCGGACUGCUUAAGUACCAAGCUCCCUUCGGAUCCAAUCCUAGACAUGCAUACCGCCAUUGCCACACCUUAACGUCAUGGAUAUUUCUAGGAAACCGAUUUGAUUAAGUCAUUUUUAGGAAAAGUGAUUAAUUUUGGAAAAUACUUUCAUUGCGGAAGCUUUGCUUGUUGUCGUGUUAUUUUGAAAUCAACUGUUGUUUUUGAAAACGCGCCCUAAAGCUAUCCAAUUUCAACAAUUAAAAUAAGUAAUACCUAUCUUAGUAAUACAUAUUAAAACCAUCAAAAAUAAUUAAGCGGCCUUAUUACAUUUAAAAACUCAAAACUUCAAACGUAAAUAAAAGGAUGUCCAGUUCACCAGAAGAAAAUCAAACUUUCAGAACGGGUGGCCACUCCGAAUUCCUUCACAGCUCCAAGCCCACUAUGGUUGGGGAUUACCUGCGUGGAAGAAAAUAAAAGGGGUGAGUUUGGGGAAACUCAGUGUGUAAGGAAUACCCAUUCAAAGCCCAAGUCAGCUCAAGCCUAUUGGGCCUAAGCCCAUUCAGGUAACAGUGGUACUGGGCCAGAGCCCUUUUCAGAUUACAAUAAACUGGGCCUUAGCCCCUUAUUCAGAUAACAGUAUGGCCCAUAGGCCCAUUUCAAAAUACAUGCAACAUCAAUAACAUAUGCAAGCCCAUUUGGGGAGACUACUCAACCCACCAACCACUACACUCCACCUGUACCAGCCAUACACUCCAUGUGGGGAAUAGCUCAACCCACCCAGCCCAACACUCCACAGUUGCAGCCUUGCUACUCAGUUAACAGUAAAUUGAGGCAAAGCCUCCAGUACGUGGACAAGCCACUUUCAGUACUUCCUCCGUCAAUAUCCCAGUCCCAUGCAUCAGAUAAUAACAACAAGGUAUGCAGUAAAUAACAACAGUCAAACAUGCAUUUAGGUCAAUUUAACCCUAGGGGUAUUUCGGUAAUUUAUCUCUUAGGGGUAAAACUAUAAAUUUUUCACUUUUAAAGGUAUUUCAGUAAUUUAUCUAUUUUAGGGUUUUUCAUGCAUAUUCCUACUUUUCACGUACUAACAGAAUCACGUACCGAUGGUUCUUACCGAAUUGGGCCCGUUGGCCCAUCAUUCUAAUUUUGGCCCAUUAAUCCCAAAAAUAUCGAGGGCACAGAAAUCAUGCACUUUGCAGUCCAAACAUUGCAGCUUACCAAAAACAUUAAUCGAUUUACCUCACGAGCAUUCGCACACUCGCAAAUCUACAAAAUACCGGUUUUCAGCAUUUCGGCUUUUCGGCUUUUGCCGAUCUAGACUAAGAAAGAGGGUGUUAGUUACACACCUGUUUGCGACGAUAUGCUGACGAGAUCCACACACGAACCGCCUACAAUUGGAUUACUAACACGUUAAUCUAACUAUUCAAAUACAAACUACGUAUUAACCCCUUACAAUAUUCGGCCAACCACACCUAUAGAUCAUAGUAAGCUUAUAAGAAAUCAAUAAGUAACUCAUUAACAAAUUUUUGUCAAUGUUUACCACAUAAUCAUAAUUUCACCGCAAGCUGUCUUCCUGAGCAACAGUCAUUAAAUUAUUUAUAACUGGAGCUACGAAACUCCAAAUAAAGUUCCGUUAAUUUUCGCUGAAAAUAGACUAAUAUAUCUUCUAUCCAUAAAAUUUUCAGAAUUUUUGGUUUAGCCAAUCAAUACCAGAUUUUUCUCAAAGUUUCCCUUGUUUCACUGUUUGACUAAUCUGACCACUCUUCAUUACGAAUCAAAUUUAUCAUUGUACAGAAUUCAAAAUAUGUUAUUUUUUAUUUCAUUAGAAACUAGACUCAAUAAGCUUUAAUUACAUAAUUUAUUCAGCUUCUAAUUCAUCUUCCACAAUUUAUGGUGAUUUUCCAAAGUCACAUUACUGCUGCUGUCCCAAGCAGAUUUAUUACCAAAUCACUCUUUCACACAUACCUUGCAUGCAUGUUAUUUAAACAUGUAUAUCACCAAUCAAUCAUCACAUAUCUAUGAUUUUACUUAAGUAGAAUCUCCAUUUCAUCAUUUUAAAGCACAACAUGUUAGCUGAUUUUUCCCUUUAACAUCUAAGGCACAUGCAUGCUCAUUUGUUUGGCUCAACUUCACCUAUCUUCCAUUUUUCAUCAAAAGAACAUGAAACAACAACCAUUUCCUUCAUUUUAAUUCAUGACUAAAUGCUCACAAUACAACUAAAAACCAAAAUAUGCUUCAAGAGUUAAGGUAGAAUCAAGAUGAACUCAUGAACCUCAAAAUAGAAGCAAGGUACCAAGAACUUACCUUCAAUUUUCCUCCUCCUAAUGACCGAAUACUCAAGAGCUUUCUCCUCUCCUUUCUCUUCUCUAACUUUUAGCUAUGAUGAAAAAAGAUGGACAAAACUUUGUUCUUUUCACCCCUUUUUCUUUUAAUAAAACUUCAUAUUUCAUCCAUUUAAUUCUUUAAUACAAAAGACAUGAAAUUCUUAUCAUGAAACAUUUACCUAACCCAUUAUCAUGAAACAUUUACCUAACCCAUUAUCAUGGAACAUUUACCUAACCUAUUAUCAAUUUGUAUCAAUUUGUACCAUAAAUUAUGGAUAUCAAGUGCACAUUUUGUCUACAACAACAUGAUGGCUGGCCACUUAAUGUAAAAUGGGAGGUUUGUCAUGCAAAUCCUCCUAUUUUGCACUCCUAUUUAUUUGGCCACUUCAAUUUAGCCUAUAGCAUUUUCAAACAUUUUCACAUAGGUUCUAUUUCAUAAUUUCACCCCCUUUUUCUUAUGGAACAAAAAUUAACUAAAAUUAUCGGGUUCUAUCUUAAGUUUGGGCUUUCUAGAGGCCCACUAACAUAAUUAAACCUAUGCCAACAUUCACAGGAUUCUCGAAAAUUGAGGCGUUACACAACUUAUAUGAGUAAGGAUAUUUCAUGUAUGAAGCAUGUUUGAAAUGUUCAGAUGAUGGACAAAUAAUAGAUCUAUUGAAGCAUGGUUGCAUAUACACCUAGGUGUAAGUUGUUAAUUUGGUAAGUUAAGAUAUUUGAUUAUAUGUGAUGAUAUGUUAGUUAUAAGAACUUGGUAUUGGCUUAAAUUGCGGGUCUUGUAUGAUUUGUGAAUGUAAAAUUUGUUGUGCAUAGGUUGAUACCAAGAUUGGGUGAGAAAAGUGGCCUUAAAAUGGCCUAUUUUCGUCUACACGGGCAGAGACACAGGCGUGUGUAUCAGCCGUGAAUGACACACGGCCCAACACAUGGGCAUGUUGUCUGGCCGUGUGUCCCCUGCACCUUGAAAUUUCGAAACAGAAUUCCCAGGUUUUUGUACACGGUCUAGCACACGAGCAUGUAGCUUGGCCGUGUGACCCCUGUACCUUACACACGACCGUAUGGUUGGCCGUGUGACUUAAGUCAGAGAGUUACACGGGUAUGGGCAUAGGUUGGGACACGGCCGUGUGCUUCACAUCGAAUGCCCAUUUGGCCUAAGACACGGGCAUGUCUUCAGGCCGUGUGGCUCACAUGGCCGGCCACACGAGCGUGUGUCCCUUGCUCCUAAGAAAAUUUUUAAGAUUUUGGGAAAAAUUCUUUGAGUAUCCGAUUUAGUCCCGAUUCACUUCUAAGGUGUAUAUUGGGCCUCGAGGGCUUAUACAAGGGAUAAUAUUAGUAUCUUAUGACUGGUUUUUGAUAUGUUAUUAAGUGUUAUAAAAUAUUCAUAUUUUAUUCCGUAAAGUCCGAUAAUGCUUCAUAACCCUGUUUAGGCGACGGAUAAGGGUUAUGGAUGUUACAUAACAGUAGCCACCUUCAACGAAGAGAAGAAAUAGAAGCUUCAAGGAUCUCUAACUUUUCUUAACAACUUGUUUUCUUCACAACCAAAAAUUCAUUAGAUCAAACACAUUUCAAUAACCACAAGAAACCAAAAAAAAAAUUUGUCAGAUCUAAGUCAAGGCCAAGAAUUAACACCACACGGACUUACAAGAAUUGAAACAAUUAACAUUGCAACAUGAUGAAACUUAUGAAGAAUUAAAGAAAACAAAGAAUUUCAUGAAAGAAUUAAUGACUUGUUGUUAGGUAAAAGCUCUAAUACCAUGAAAGCAGUUCAUGAAUAAAAGAAAACUUGAAAAUCCAAAAGAAACAAGGUAUGAUCAAAGGGGAAAAUGGGUUUACUUAUUUUAAUAAUCCAACUUUAAUAUCCUCAAUUGAAGAUGAGUCUAUUUAUACAAUUGGUAAGAACUAUCUAGAAAUGUAUACUGGUCUAACAAACUUCCUAAGUAAUUCUUUUCCAUUAGAUUCUAGAAAGAAAUAGUUGUAAUCAGAUUCUAGAAAGAAAAGUAUAGGAUCUUUGUAAUGUAUGUUUUGAUAUGUUUAACCUUUUGAGGUAAUAUUGGUUUGGUACACUUUAAUGCCUUACCAAGUUAUGUCAUUUUGGUCACUUUUAAGUGCUUGUAAAUAAGGUUCUUAUGGUAUGUUUUGGUGGCUUGCAAAUGGUCAUGUAUGGUAGUUAAAUGAACUAGGUUGUGUGUUUGAGACAUAGUCAAAUUGCUUUGGUUUGAUUCAUAAUAUUUGAUACAAUUGUGGUGCCUUUGAAUGGCAUAUAGGUUAAAUGAUUUAGGAUGCUUGAAAUGGCAUGUUUAUGUGUGUUUGAAUGAUGUUUGAAUCCCUUGAAUGUGUGCUCAAAUGGUUUUAAGGGUUAGGUAUGAAUUGAACUUGAAAUGACUUGAUUUUAGCUAAAUUUUUGAAUUCACAAGGUCUGGGACACAGGCUGUCACACGGCCGUGUGUCAUUUGAAAUUUCUUAGUGUUCCAAGUCAGUGAGUUACACGGCCUAGCACACGGCCUAGGCACAUGGGUGCGUGUGGCAACUCAAAGAGCUACACAGCCUGGCACACAGGCGUGUGUGGCAUCUCAGUCAGUUACACGGGUGAGGACACGGGCUGGGACAUGGUUGUGUGUCCCUUGUUCGAAUGUUGCAUGGCCUGGGCCAUGUCAUAAGGCCGUGUGAUCCUUGUUUUCCAAUUUUUGUAACUUUUUCUCAAAAUUCCUGUUUUGUUUCAAAUUAGUUUCGAAUCGCUUCUAACUUAUUUUUAGGGCCUCGAGGGCUCAAUUUUGGGAAAAAUUUUCUAUGAUUGAUUGGUUUAUAAUGAGUUUAAUUUAUUUAAAUAUUAUGAUGUUAAAUGUUUUUUAUUGUACGAUAAUGCUCUGUAACCCUACUUUGGCGACAGAGAUGGGUUAGGGGUGUUACACACCUAUUCUUGUUGUGGCCUUUUUUUUGUUCUCUACAAUACUUUCCUUCCCCAUGUUACCGCCCAUGCAUGGGCCAUGCAUUUCCUUAGCCACUUUAGACGAGACUUGGCCCCAGACGCUAGGAUUCUUGGGAGCUGGAAAAAUAAAAUCCUAUGAUUUAGGGACUACCAUAACCUAAUUGCUAAUCUUUAAAAUUUGGCAUUAUCAUUUGAAGAUUCAACUCCCGAGUUUUUAGCAACAUUAUCCUAUGGCAUUGUCUUUCCUCUUUCACGACGCCAUAGUACCACUGGAUUCUUGAUUUGCCUUUUAUACUCAGCCCUAAUUUCUUCCAACUAGCCAUAAACCACCACGCCAUCCGUUGCUUCCAACAACUUAUGGCAAUGGGAUUCAUUAUGAUCUAGCCUUCCACAAAUAUACCAAAUAAUAAGUAUACGUUCAUAACUAAGGAAGUUCAAAAUAAUCUCCAUUAGGCUCACAAAUCUUCUUCUUUCUCAUUAACAAUUCCUAUCGUCAAGAUGAACCCGGAUCCGCAUAAAAUAAUUCAAGGAAUUCAUGCGCUCAAUCGUGUCAUAGUCAAUACACAUACUCAUAACAUCACCCAAACUCUUUGCCAAACAUAGACCUAAAAAUCAGUAUACAAAAACUCCACAUUUUCCAAGUCCUUCCCUAUCGACAAUUGAUAGAUCAAUAAAAGACAAUUAUUGAAAGACCACAGACCUCCUAAGAUCAUCUUGGUGAGAUCAACUAUAUGAUGAAACUAAAUCAAGUAAAUUCCUGAGUCACUCAAAGAUUUAAUAUAAGCACCUUGAAGAGGUUGUGAAGUGGUCUCUCCGUGACCGUGAAAUUAAUGGCUUACUCUCCCAAAAACUUACCAACUAAAUAUAAUCGUAAUCAAUAUCAUCAAGUAGAUUAUCAUCCGAUUCAAUGACCAAUUUCACCUCUUCUCUAAUAGACAAAUGUUGAAACUCUUCCUCCAUUGGAACAACGGACAAACAAAGCAAACAAAGAAUCAAAAUAGAAGAACCUUGACUAGCAAGGCAAAACCUUGCACUCAAAAUAGCAAAACCCUAGAGAGAGAGGGGCAACACAACGUAUUAAAUAUAUUAGAAGUUGAGAUAUUAAUUUCAUCCUCAAAGGGCUUACAGAAUCGGAUACAUAUGCUUGAAGUACACACGUGAAUAAAUAAAUUCAUUGAUCUAUUCCUAUAUAAAUAAAUCUAAUUAAGAUCACAUAGUUAUGAAACCUUAUUGUAUAAGGUUUGCAUUAAUAAUUUGAACCACUAAAUUAUAAAUAAUAUAUUGAUGAUCAACCUCAGUAAUAUUAAUUUUGCUGAACAGACAUAUCUCAUUUCUUUUGUAAUUAAUGUAUUUUAUAUAUUAUACAAAAUUAUGUUACUUUUAUUUAUGAAUUUUAAAAUUUUACUCUCUCUUUUUUUUCUUUCUAAAUCUAAAAAAUCCAAGACCUCUGACUGCAGGGAUAAACUAUAAAAUUUAUUGAAUGAAGCAUUUAUGUUGCAUUGUUUUACCAUAAUCAUUCCACCUAUGAUCAUUAAAUGUUAUUUAUAAUUUAUUAGAUUCCGAUAUGUAGAUUGUAAAAAUAUACUCAAAAUUAUGUAAGAUAUAUGGUAAUUCAUAUCAUAUUCAAUGUUAGAGAUUAAUAUUUUCAUUAUGUAUGAGGCUAUAAAGGUUUAAUUCUAUUUCUAUUUCUUGUAUUUUUUGAAUAUUUGAAUUAAUCUCGUUUCUUUGGUUGGGUGGAAAAGUGAAGGGAUAAAAGGAGGGAAUAAAAAAGUGGAAAGAAAAUAAAUUUUGAGUGUGUUUGUUUGAGAAGAAAAGUGAGAGGAGAGAUAAUCAUUUUCCAUCAUAGUCCUUCCAAAUUGAAAAGAUGAGAUAAGAGAAAAUUAUAGAGAGGUGUAUGUUAGUUUAAAAUUAUGUAUUUUUCAAUGUUUUAUUUUCUUUCCUUUCGUUUUUCAACUCUACUAAGUAAUUGAUGGAAAGAAAUUUACUUUUUGUUUCCAUUUUUUCUAUCUUUCCUACCAAGCACACAUUCGGAAAGAAAAUUUAUGUUUUCCUUCAUUCUAGUUUUUUACCCCUUCAAAUUUUCAUCCUUCCAAUUUUUUUUUCACUCUACCAAACAGAGCCUUAACUCUAAGAAUUUAAUCUUAGUGCUCUUUUGAUUUAAUAAUUGAAAUCUAAUUGAUAAUUUUAUCAAAGAACUUUCGUUAAAUUGAAUUAUGUGUCAUUUUUAAAACAAAAUGCUUCUGUGACCAAUUUAAAGUCAAGUAAAAGCUCUAUAAGUAAAUAUAUAUUGACUAAAUUCUUAAAAAUAAAAGUAAAGAGAUCAAAUAUCAAAUAUAUAAAAAGUAUUGAGAUUGACAAUAUAAUUAAAUGGGGCUAAAAAUAGAGGUAAAAAGUACAUAUCCAAUACAUUUAUAGCUAAACUUCAUAGUUUCCUUACCUUUUCUAAACAACAUGCCCUAAAAAAAGAUUUAUACACUUGAGUGGUCUCUUUAUUAUACAGAAUUGAUUAAAUAAGUCCAUUUAUUAUUAAAUGGAUCAAUUAAGUUUUUUUACCAUUAAAAAAAUUAAAUAAAAUCAAAUUAGAAUAAAGUUAACAUUUAUUGUUUAAAAAACAUCAUUUACUGUUUAACAAGUUAAUAAUUUUAAAGUUUUUACGGUUCUGCAAAUGAAAUAUUUUGUUUGAAAUUGAACUUCAAUUGAAAAAUAAUAAUUUUCAAGACAUUUUUAUACCGUAAAUAUAAACUCUAAUACAAUUUAAACUUAUUUAAUUCUUUUUAAUAAUAUAGGAACUAAAUUAAUCUAUUUAAUAAUAAAUAAAUUACUCCCAUGACUUCCUAGAUACUUAACUAAAAAAACAUAUUAUGUUUUGUUUGGAUCUGGGGAAAAAAUAGUGAGAAAAAAGUAAAAAAAAUCGUAUUUGGUUCAUUAAAAAAUUAUCCUUGAGAGUGGUUGAGAAGCUCUUAAGUUUGUCCAAAUAGGGUGGUGGGAUGCCAUGAAACCCUUGGAAUCCUUUACCUAGCUUGUUAAGGGUUUAGGGUUCAAAUUAAUUGUGGCUUUGAUAAUUUAGGUGUAGACCCUUCGAUGGUGAAGGUAAUUGUCAGCCCAGUAGACUAAUUUUGGGGUAAAAUAUUUUAUUUAAAAUUAAUUAGGAAAAUAAGUUAAUAUUAUUAUAAAAUAAUUUGACGUUUUUUUUAUAUAUUUUAAAUAGUAAAAUAAUUAUUUUUUAGCUAGGAGUGAACAAAACUCAAUUUCACACAAAAAUUAGUUUUUUUUUUUCUGAAUUUUGAGUUAAUGAAGUCGAAUUAUUUGAGUUAUAUGGUUUUAUGAAUCAACUUCAGUUUUUUAGAUUCGAGUCAAGUUGAAUUUUACAACUUGAAUGGCAAACUAAUGUAAAUACUCGUUGGGUCCCUAUCAAUUUCAAAAACUAGCAAAUUAAUCCCUUAAAAAUUACAAAAAAUUCAAAAUUUUAAUAAAAAUUUCCAAAAAAUUAUAAGAAUAUUUAUUUUUUUUAAAAAAAAAUCUAAAAUGAUAAAUUUAAGACCUUGAAUAACUAAAUUAUCAAAUCAAGUUUAUCGCACUAUAUUAUCUUCUCUUUCUUUUAUUUUUUACUUUGAAAGAGUUUUCAAAGAUCUAUGAUUUCAAAUUUAUGUACUUUAACUUGAAAUUUAGUGACAUUGUCAACAAGAUUUAAAUUUACUCUAUUCGAUUUGACUCGAAAUUUUUUUACUUCAUUCGAUUCGAAAAAAUUUCAAAUUGAAUUCAGUUACUAAAAUAGGAUUUGUCAACUCGACUAACUCAAUUUAUUUUACUCAAUUCGAUUCAACUCGAUCAAAUGCUCACCCUUAAUGACAAACACAAAGGAAUGUUGUGACACUUAUCAAAAACCUUCUAACUAUUUUCAGGGCAUAUCAAAAGCCUUCUAACUAUUUUCAGGGUAUUUUUGUACUUUUCUCCAUCCGAAUCCUACCAUAUAAAUAUGAGCUUUUUGCUAAUUUUCAGCAAACUUUUGAUAUUUUAAUGGAGUAGAAUAGGGUUUAAAGAGUAUUUUUGGAGUGGGUUUAGAUGGACGGUACGUUUAUUUGCAGGUAGUGUAAAAAUAGCGGUGAUGAUGAAAUUAGAUAUUGUAAUGAUACUAUAGUGUAAGAUAAAAAAUAAAUUAAACGCACCGCACCGCACCGCACCACACUGCACCACACCACCCAUUCAAAUUUACCCUUAAUAGUUUUAGUAUUUACUUUUAAUUUCAUUGUAUUCCAUUUAAAAUUUUAUGUAAUAACUCUUCUUAGUUAUUAAUAAAAUAUAGUUUUCUUUAUGUUCUUUGGGCUCAAAAAAUUGGAGACUAGAAGGGAGAAUACAUGGGAUUGAGCUUCAACUUCACCAAUAUUGAGCCUUAACCCCACUUUGUUAUUGACCUUGAAAAAUGGAUGUUGUGGUCGAUAAGAAGAUUUUGCAUGCUUAGUGUCCAUGUUUAGCUAAAUUUUUUAUAUGGCUAAUAAUUUGAAGUGAUUUUGGAUUGGUUUGUUGCCUAUGAUUGCGAUAUGCUUGGUAGUUAGAAUGGCCUAAUGCUUCAUGAGAGUAAAGACUUAAAGUAAAAUUUAAUUUAGGGAAUAUUACAGGUGUCGGCCCUAGUUGAAUUUCCUAAUUAGCACAUUGAGUAUAAGUAUCAAAAGAGUUAGUAUAUGUUAGUUCAAAUUAGCAAGAGCAACAAGUUAAAAGACGACUAUUGCAUUAGAAGCAUAUCAACAAAGCGUUAAAAUGUGUAAGUAGCAUUACCAGUCUUCUUUAUCAAUCAAUUGAGCUUAGGAUCAUCAAAAUAUGCUAUUCACUCUAUUAGUAACUACUUUUAUCAUCCAAUCAAUAGUAAAUUGAGAUCAAUUUAACUAGUUAGUUAAUUAGAUUAUAGUUGUAAUUGUUAAUUCAAUGCAAAUCACAAUCAGUUAAGGGCUGAAUGAAUUAUGCUUAUUGGUUGUUUGAUUGACCCUGUUGAUGUGCGUAGAUACUUAGUUUUUGCUAUUAGUAUUAUACAGCCCAAUUUUGGCCCGGGCCUAAAUAAACCAAACCCAACUAAGCCCUAACCUAAAACUAAAACCCUUGCCCACAAAAUAUUUUCCAGCAAUGAAGGGAGGGAGAACCCUACGCGCCGUACCAGGUCACUUCAGCCCCCCCACACGCGCCGUACCACCCAUGUGCCUCCCUGCUGCCACCAGCGUGCACACCGCUCGAAUCUGCAAACAGAGAAGAAAAGACAACACGCAAGAAAAGAAAAAUAGGCAACAAUAGUGAAAACAAUAGCAAAAAAUAGGGUCUUGUAAAUCGGUUUAAAGGCCAAAAAGAAGCCAAUGUAAAAGGGGGAUUCAUCAUUUAAUAAAAAAAACACAAAAAGCAGAUUCAAAAGAAAAGAAGGUGAUUUUCAGAUCUAGCUUUUUUCGAUUUUGUUCUUUUUUUUUUCUUUUUCUCGAUCUUUAUUUGCUGUAGAUAUAAGAAAAAAUAAAGAAAGAGGGACUUAUCGUAGUUUUGGCCCCCUCGAGUCUUUGCUUGCUUCGUUGAAAUCGGAGUCUAGGCGAAGAUUCUGAGGCUAGGAGCGAGACCCUCAGGUUCAUGGUCGAACGGGGUCAGAUGAGGCCCUCGCGAGGUGGCUGUUGGUCGAACAUAGAGGCAAAACGGCAGUUGAAGGGUCUUCUUUUUUUUUUUUGGCCGAAUGAGGAAGAUGGAGGCUAGGUUUUAUUUUGAUUUUCGAUAACAGAUUGUUGAUUUAGGUGUUUUUGUAUUUUUGAGUUAUGGCUAGCAUGAAACGGCACCGUUUAGGGCCUAUUCCUGCGGUGAAAGGAAUAUUUGCAAGAUUGAUCCCUCCUUUUCGCAUGGUUAUUCUAUUGAGUCAUAUUUGCAUUUUCUUUGUUUUUUAAUUAUCCCUAGAAUUUGCACGUUAUUUCAAUUCGGUCCGCACCUAAGCACCGUGUUUUGGGAUCGGGAUUAUUUCCAGCUUUGGUCCUUGUAUAUUUUCGCGUGUUGCGCGCUGGUCCUUUUUUCUUCUUUUAUUUAUUUUCCCUGAAUUUUUAUUUUAAAUUCGAUGUAGUCCUUUCCUAUUUAUUUUCAAUAUUCUAUUCUAUUUUCGAUUAGUUUAAUAUUUUCCUUGUUAUACUUUCCUUUUACAUUAAUUUAUUUGUUUUAUUAUUAUUACUAAAUUUUCGUAGUACUAUUAUCAUAGUUUUAUAUAUAUAUGCACAUAUAUUUGUCUACUGAAAGUCAUAUAUACAUAUUUAUACCUUAUUUUUACUGUUUAUCUACGUAUAUAUUUUGAUACAUUUUUUUAAAUCAUUUUACUUUUCUUUAGUCCCUCUUUUAUACACUUGCGAUUAUCUUUUUUGAAUUUGAACUUUAAAAUUUCAUCUUAUUUUCAAUCGAGCCCUUAUUGAUGUAAAUUUAAACUUUUUCAAUUUUUUUAAAAUCAUUUUAUUUAUUUCAAAUUUUUAUAUUGAAUUGUUUUAUGUCAC